rnacentral:lncRNA from 1 species
UCUAAUCCCAGUCUUCAAGCACAAUCUCUGUACUUUUACCAGUGUAAUUUGCUCACCACCUAUCCACAAUGUACAAUACAUAAUUCACCACAUUAAUGCUUGACAAUUAUAAAAUCAAUUCAGGCUCGGUGUAUAUGCAUGAUAUGAUAUGCAACUUAUUCGACUACAGCUUAAAUGCGGUGCUGACCUAAUUCGGCCAAUUACCCGAUUAACUGACAAUUGUGUACGAUUUGGCUCCAAAUUGCUCCAUUUCAUUUUUAAUAUUUAUAUUCACUAAAUACAAUUGCAAUAAUCUAAAAUUCAGACUAACAACCAUCACAAUUCUUCUUGAAAAUUUCGGCCAUUGUGGUGCACUAUCACUAAAAAUUUUCUGAUUCCAUUUUUUCACCAUAAAUCAUCAUUUCAUCAAUUUUUCAACUAAUUCACUUGAUCACAAAAUCAAUUCAUUACUUCUACACUUCACAUAGGGUUCGGCCAUUGAAGGUUCAUGGGGAAAAUGGAUUCUUUUCUUGUUGUUUUGCUUCUAAAUAUGCUAAACUAACUAAAAACACUAACAUAUCUUAAAAUUAAUUCAAUCCAACAUCUUUCUCUCUCCUUACCCAUUUUGACCAGCCAUGAAUUCAUCAUGAAAACAUGUAAUUUAAGCAUGGAAAAUAAGGAUAAAUGCUUAAGAAAAAUAGAUUUCAAGCUUAAGUUGAAAAAUCCUACCUUUUUCACUUGUUUUCCUUGAUUUUCCACACUUUUUCUCUUGAAAUUCUUCACCUAGGGUUUGUUCUUCCUUUCUUUCCCUCUCUUCCUUACUUGGCCAAAUAUUUGGAGAGAUAAUGGGCUGAUUUAUGCUGAUUUUAAAGUUAAAUAAUAAAAUAUCCUAAGCUUGACACAUGGCAUGUUUCCAUUGGUCCAUUUUUAAAACUUUAAAAAUUUUAAACCUUUUUUCUCCACCACAUGAUUAGUCAAAAGUCAAAAUGAGGCUAAGGGAAGACCAUGUGCUGGACAAAUGUCCUGGUGGAGGAAAAUUACAAUUUUGCCCUUGGGGUGCCAAAAUUACCAUUUUACCCCUAUACUCCGAAAAAUGACAAGAUUACAAUUUUUCACUUCUCAACCUCAAAUCAUACUCCGAUAAGUCAAAUGGGGCCAAAAAAAAUCUUUUAUUAAAUUCUCAUUUUGUCUCCAGUUGGCAAAUGACCAUUUUGCCCCUAGAUAGUGAAAAUUUCGGUUUGACUCCAAAUUGAUCAUCGAACUCCGAAUUACCAUUUUGAGUCAUCCUUGGACCAUGAAACUCUCAAUUUUACCUUAAAAUUCCUAUUUGAACUAGUUCGAGGCUUAAUUGACUUAAUGAUACCAUUAGGGGCAAUAUCGUCUUUUAACGAUUUCUCAAACUUCCUAAAUAUGCAACCAUUCUAUUGAGCAUGUAAAUGACGUCGUAAUUAUUUUAUAGAACAGGGUUUGACAUAUUCCUUCCUUAGGCCUAUUUAGACCUUAAUAGCAUCAAGAAAACUCACUCGUAGAAGCUCACCAAGAGAAAUUACGAAAUUAACCCUAGUCUGCAUUAUCUCGUCUACUUCUAGUUAUGUGUCUAUGGAGAUCGAGAUUUCACAGGUUCACUUCUGAAUUACCCUUUUUAACUCAGUAAUUAACCUCAAUUGGUAUCCGUAAACUUUAUUAGCCACCGUAUCAAAAUACGGGGUACUACAAGAACCAUGUGAUAUGACCAGGUUUGAUGAUUCUCUCAUUCAUGUUAUUGUAUCUAACUCUGACAAUGCCAACUUAUAUGUAGUGCCUACUAUGCAAGAGAUAAGAGAUGCAGUGUUUGACAUUGACAAAGAUAGUGUAGCUUGCCCGGAUGGUUUUUCUUCAUUUUUCUACUAACAGUGUCGGGAUAUUAUUGCUAAAUAUCUUUUUCAAGCAGUGGUGCAUUUUUUUCAAGGUGCGCCAUUUCUGAGGGGAGUCACAUCAACCACUCUUGUGUUAUUGACUAAAAAGAGUAAUGCCUCACAAUGGAGUAAAUUUUGACCAAUUAGUUUAUGUAACGUUUUAAAUAAAAUAGUUACUAAGUUGAUGGUUAAUCGUCUAACUAAGCGUUUACCUAUUAUUAUUUCUGAUAAUCAAAGUGGCUUUGUGAGUAGCAGGCUUAUUAGUGAGAAUAUCUUGUUGGCACGAGAAUUGAUUGGGAAAACUUAUAAAGAAAACAAGAGGUGGAAAUGUAGCUCUAAAGUUGGACAUGAUGAAAGCCUAUGAUUAGAUAAACUAGAUUUUCUUAUAUAGAAUGAUGCAACAAUUAGGCUUUAGCCACUAGUGGAUAAAUAUGAUUCAAUGUUGCAUUUUGAAUUGUUGGUUCUCUUUAUUAAUUAAUGGUAGGUCAGUGGGCUAUUUUAAGUUAGAACGAGGAUUACGUUAGGGUGAUUCCAUCUCUCCUCAACUAUUUGUUUUAGCAGCUGAAUAUUUGUCUUGAGGUUUAAAUGCUCUAUAUAACAGAUGCCCCUACAUUCACUAUUUGCCUAGCUGUCCAAUGAUUGUGAGCCACCUAGCAUUUGUAGAUGAUGUCCUUAUAUUUACUAUUUUAGGAAUUUUGAGAAUAUGGUGCCUUAGAAAAUAAGCAUAUUCUCAUGCUUAAUUUUAUUAAAUUUGUUUGUAAUGAAAGUACAUUUUGAUAAUAAAAUGAAAAGUUUAUUUCAAGUAAGCAUUCAUUAUCUAGUUAUGAAGGUACCAUGAUUCUAUUGAGAUAUUACAAUACAUUUGUAUGAAGAGUUAUGUCACGACCUGGUACUCUUUUCGAGCCCAUGACAACUGCCGCGAUGUCCCGAUAGACAUACCUUAUCGGGAAUGUCAACCAAAACCUGGCAAGGCUCUAGCAUCAGUUCUCCGCCUCCCUUGUGAGCAACAAUUACUACAUAUUAUAUUUUAAAAGAAUAUAGAUUAUUUUCAAAUCAAAAUAAAUCAAAAAGUAAUUUCUACCGCACAGGGGUAUUUUGGUCAUUUUAUCUAAAAUUUUUGAAACCUACUAAAAAUAUAAUAUAUAAAUGAAAAAUAUAAAUUUCAUAUCUAAAAAUAAAUUUAGGUAUCUAAAUUAUCUAUUUAAAGUGAAAUUAUACCUAAUCAAACUAAAUAAAAAUAUUGAAUAAAAUAUUUCAUUUUCAUAUAAAACAAUAUUUAUAAAAUUUUACGUAAACAGUUAAUGAAAAGUAAUAACCAAAUAAAUUUAUAUAUAUAAUAGCACAUUGCGCCAAAGUAUACAAAAAUAUUCUACAAUGACGUGUGAGCCCCAAAAUAACAAAAAUAAACACGACUGUAAACCUACGAUUUCUAAGGGAACGAAUCCAAAAGUAAACCCUCGACAAAAUUGGUGGUCUACAGACUGCCUUGAGUCUGAAAUGGGUGAAAAAAAGGUAGUGAGUUUUUAUAAACCCAGUGAAUAAGCAAAGAUCAUCUAUAACAUCUAAAGCCGAGUAAAUAGAGACAAUUAAAACAUCUCAUCAUAGUAUGAUUCAUAACAUUAAAACUUAUUUCAACCCAUAUAAAACAGUUACAUUUCAUAAAAAAAAAUCAACAAGGCUUAUGACUCUCUUAAAUACUUGGCUUGUGCCAAAACUUGUACUCGGUGACACCUUGCGCAGGGCAUCCAACUAAGUCCGCCAAGGCUAUUAAAAUAACAUAUACACAUAAAAUAUGUUUUUACGUUUAAAAACACAGCCGUUCUUUGGCGUUGGCUGAGUUUCACGCUCAUGUGGUGGUUCGGCGUGAAGUGAAAUCUAAACUACCUUAGGAGAUACCCUCCACGCCUCUCAUACUAAGGUAAAAUAUGACGGGGUUUACCGUGCCCUUAUAAUAGGCCGGUCCACGAAAACCCGCCCACUGUAGUAAGCUAAUCAAUUACCCCACCAAAUCAAUAAAAAUUUCGGCAGUAUGACAUGGCUAAUACGAUAUUACCCAGCUUAUCAAGGUAAAACAAAACAGUUUAUAUAUCCCACACAAACACAAAUCCAGCCAUUCCUGCCAUCACAUUAUCAUAAGCCAUCAAUUUAAACCAUAUGUCAAUUAGAAAUCCCAUUAUGCCGAUACAUUUAUUACAAAGUAGGGUCAGCAUAACUAACAAUAGUCAAAACAUUUAUAUAACACAAGUAUAUAGUCUCCGCUUACUCAAAUUCCAAAACCAGGAUUCAAUUUCAAACCAAAUUAUGAAUCUCAUUUCAUUUAACCAACACUUCAGUUAUAAAACAUAACAGUUUACAAUUUAAGUUCACUAUUCUUUAAAAUCAUAAAAACGAGUAUAAACUACUUUAGAUAGUUAAGAUGAUACUCUGUUUACUCACCAUAACGAGAGUACUCCUACUCCUGGUCCUCAGGUACGAUAUCCUUACCCUUACUAGAGGGCUCACCACCUAUACCUAAUACACAACAAGUAAUUCAAUACAUUUAUGCCAAACUGUUAUAAAACUAUUCUAGGCUCUAUAUGAAUGCAUGAAAUUGAAUGAGAAAUGUUCAAAUAAUCACUUAAAAAUGGUGUUCUAUGCAAGUUCAAUUGUUAUUGGACUGAAAUGGUAUUUGACCUAACUCGCACUAUACACUGUUUAAUUAGAUAAAACAUCUUAUUCAACUCCAAAUAGAUUCAUUGCACUUUCGGUACUUCAAAUACACCCAAAGUACCUCAAUGAACUUGAUUGUGACUUAAAUGAUCACAUCCGAAACUCAUUUCGAUUUUGAACUAACGUGCUAAUCAGUGUCAACACAGUCCAAUAAGUCCGUAUAUAUCAUUAGAAAUCAAAUUCAAGUCCAUUUACCAUGAUUUUCUCGAUGUCGUUCAAGCCGUUUACUAAAGGCACUAUACUUUUCGAUAACCAUUGUCGAUAUCUGACACCAUAAAUCAUCAAAUACGAGCUAAAUAAUAUGAAACAUAACAAAAUUCAUCAUCAAUAUUUCCCCUAUUAAAUUCGGCCAAUGAGGGUUUAGUGAAGGCCAUGUGGUUUUCUUGCUUGUUUUUCAUACCGAAUAUCACAAAACAACUAAAAACACCUAGAUAGCAUGAAAUCUAAUAAAAACCAUCAUCAAAACCUCCCCCCCUUGAUUCGGCCAACAUGACUUCCUUCAUGAAAGUUUGGGUUUCAACCAUAAAAAUGAAAAAGAAAGCAUGGGAGAGGUGAAUCUUAAGCUAAAAUCGUGAAAUCUUACCUCAGAUCGCUUCGUUUUUUGGUAACCGAUGAAUUUCUCUUGAAUUUUCUUCCUCAAGAGUUGUUUCUAUUCUGUCCCCCCCCCCCCCUUUUAUUUGGCUUGCACGGCAAUGAAAGAAGAAUUGAGAGAGGUUUAUGUUGGUUUAUAAAGAAAAUUAUAAAAGAAUUCAAGCUUGACACGUGUCAACGUGUGAAUGGUUCAUGGUUAAAACUUAACUAUUAAGCUUUUGCUUACCACCACAUAUAAUACCUUAAUUAUUCAAAGUAUAAAAAUGAUAAUAGGUGAAAUUCAUGGGCUUGACAAGUGUCACGGUGGUGUAAAAUUUUAAAAAUUCCAAUUACAUCCUUAUGGGCACUUGGAAUGACCGGUUUGCCCUUAUGCUCAGAAAAAUGUCGAAAUUGAAAUUUUUUUCACUUCUCAUAUUCAAAUUAUGCUCCAAAUAGUCAAACGUGGUCAAAAAUCUCGUCCAACAUUCCAAUUUUUGCCUUCGAGUGGCAAAAUGACCAUUUUGCCCCUACAUUAUAAAAAUUUUCGAUUAUAUUCUAAAUUAAUCAUCGAACUCCGAAUCACCAUUUUAAGACAAUCUAAGGUUCAAUAACUCUCAAAUACAUCCUAAAAUCUCUAUUUGGACUAGUUUGAGGUUUUAAUCAACUUAAUUGUACCACUAGGUACGAUACCGACUUUUAAUGAUUUUUCGAGACAUCCAAGUAUGCAGACAUGCUAUUAAGUACAUGAAUGACAUGGCAAGUAUAUAAUAGAGCUGGGCUUGACAAGUCAUACAUAGGAGACAUGUAAUUUAAUUGAAUCUAAAAAUUAUUCAUAGCCAUCUAAUAAAGUUGGUCACUUUAUUGUGUUAAGGUUGUAGUGUCCAAAUUACUUCCAAUGAAGUGAAUGUGAUUCAUUUCAAGGGAAUGAUGAGUCUCAAAUCAUUGAAAUGCUUAACUUCGAGUAAUGACACUAUAACAUGAACUAGAAUCAUGAGAGAAUCAAAUUUAAGUUUAACCGCUACUUAAUUCUUGAUCUUACACUUAUGCAUUUGCUUAUAGUAGAAUUGAAAUCUUGAUGGAUAGUGGACUCAUGUUUAAUCUCCUUAUAAUCUUUGAUUUACCAUGAGCAUGAUCAUCAUAAAGCGUUGAUCUAAUCUCCAUAUUUUGAUAUUAUAAUCGAGAUGAACAUCUGGGAACAUAUAUCCAAAUAAUAAAGUUCAUACCAUUAACAUCACUUUUAGUGAUUUCAUAAAGAUUGGUGAUUAAUCUAAGCCUAGUGGAUUGAUGAAUUAGCUACUCAUCACAUCUAGAUACUCAAAAACUUAGAUCUAAAGUAUUGAAUCACUAAUUAGAUGAAAUUUGAGGUUAAAGGACAAAAUUGACAUAAAGGGUAAAACGAUAAUUUCAGCUUUUGUCAUUGGAUGGUUAUGACGGUUCACAAUAUAAGGUUUGCAAUUGGACAACUAAUAAUUAAUAUCAAGUAUUGAAUUGUUUCUUGUAAUUAUAGUUAAUCUAAGAGUGCAACCAUGAAUCUAUGUGGAGUGAUUUCAUGGUUAAUAAGCUUAAAUUAUUUUUUAAUGAGAUUAAGAAUAAUUCUAAGUUUAUUGGAGCUUGAAAUAUGUCAAACCCUAUUCUAUAAAAUAAUUACAACGUCAUUUACAUGCUCAAUAAAAUGUUUGCAUGUUUAGGAAGUUCGAGGAAUCGUUAAAAGAUGAUAUUGCCCUUAAUGGUACCAUUAAGUCGAUUAAGCCUCGAACUAAUUCAAAUAGGAAUUUUGAGGUAAAAUUAAGAGUUUCACAGUUCAGGGAUGACUCAAAAUGGUAAUUCGGAGUUCGAGGAUCAAUUUGGAGUCAAACUGAAAUUUUCAUUAUCUAGGGGCAAAAUGGUCAUUUGCCACCUAGGGACAAAAUGAGAAUUUUGAGAAAAAAAUUUUUUAUCCCCAUUUAACUUAUUGGAGUAUGAUUUGAGUAUUGGAGUAUAAUUUGAGGGUUUGGCAGUGAAAAAGUUUAAUUUCGGUGAUUUUUGGAGUGUAGGGGCAAAAUCGUAAUUUUUCCACCCACGAACAAAAUUUGAGAUUUUGAGAGAAUUUAGAUCAAAUUUGACAAAUUGGAGAAUAGUAUGAGUAGAAGGGAUGAAAAAUAUGUCUAUGGGCAAUUUUUCAGUUUUUGGGAAAAAAUGUAAUUUGACUUUUACGGGGGCAAAAGUGUAAAUUUCAAAAAUUACUCCACCAAGACUUUGGAUAAGUCUGAGAAUUUUUUCUAAGCUAUGGACAUGUGGGACAAGUGUAUGGUGAAAAUUUGGAAAUAAAUGGAUGGCUAGAAUUUAAGGAAUUAAUAAAACAAAAAAAAUGAAUAAAAUAAUAUUAUAUUAUUUUAGCCUUUAAAAAUGUCAAAAUUCCAGAAUUCUCAUCUUCUUCAGCUGUCCAAACCAGGAGAGAAAAAGGGGGAAAAGAAAUAAGAACCCUAGCUGAAAAAAUUUGGGGAAAAUCAAGAGAAAUCAAGAAAUCAAGCAUUAAAAAGGUAAAUUUCAUUGAUUUUCCUUGUGAUUUUCACUACCCAUGCAUUUUUUUCUCAUUUCCAUGCAAAAUUAGAAAGUGGGUAUGGACACCCAUGCUGGCCAAACCUCCAUGGAUGAGUUUUGAGCUUGAGUUUUGGUUGAUUUUAAUUGAAUUAAGUGAUUUUAGUUAAGUUAUAUUGAAAUAUAGCAAAAAUAAGCUAGAGAUAUAAUUUUCUCCCAUUGAAACCCAUUAUGCUGAAUUUUUCUAGGGGGAAUAUUGGCUGCUGAUCUUGAUGUUUAUUUGAGGAAUUAUGAUGAAUAAUGAUGAAUUAUGAGUCUAAAAAAAAUAAUGGAAAUUUUCUGAGCCAAAAUACAAAUUUUUACCCACUAGGGGUAUUUUCGUAAUUUACUAUCGGGACUGAUAAUUUGCACCACACUGAGGAACAUUAAGUCAAUUUGGGUGCAAUUGAGGUAUAGAAAUUGAAAAAAAUUAAUUUGGAGUUUAAACGGACGCGUAUAUCGAUUUAUCGGGUAAAAGAUCGAAAUAGGCUAACAUCUCAUUUAGGCAAAAUUUAGACAUUUUGCACUUCAUAUCAUGCAUUAGUAGUAUAAAUUAGUUUAUUUUGGUUUAGUACCAAAGUAGUAAACCUCUUAAUUGUACAAUUUGUCAAGGUGGUGAAUCCUCUAGCAAGGGCAAAGAAAUCGCACUCGAUGAGUAAUAGUUGGAGUACCCGAAUUUAGUUUUCAGAAACUAUGAGUAAACUUAUUAUCGUCUUAAUUAUCUAGAGUAGUUUUAUACAAUUGUGUGAUUUUAUGGAAAAUGGGUUUAAAUGGUAAAUUGAUAUGUUUUAAGAGAAAUUAUGAUUUUAUAAAUUUUCUGAAAAAUCGAAUACUGAUUUUGAAAAUAGAGUAAUUGGAGACUGCCUGUUUGUAUUGUAAAUUUAUGGUUUUAAAUUGAAUGGCUUAUGACAACAAAUGAGCAUGAAUGGCUAAACUGAUUUUGGUGUUAGAAUUAUUUUUACUGUGUAUUUAGCCUUGAGAGGCUAGGUUACGAUAAAUUGCCAUGUCAUGCAGAAAAAGAUUUUAUAAAUCAGGUGGUAGACAAAAGAUUAGCUACGCAGUAGUGGGGGGUUCCGUGGGCCAGCCUAUUAGAGGGGCACGGUAAACUCUUUUAUAAUCUCACCUCGGUCUUAGAGGCUCGUAGGGUAUCUCCUGAGGUGGGCUUUUUGAGUGCACUUCACUUGGACCACCGCGUGAGAGUGAGACUCAACCAACGCCAAGGAACGACUAUGUUUCAAAAUAAAAAUAUGAUUUAUGCGAAAUAUGAAUUUUUAACAGCCUUGGCGGACUCGGUUAGAUACCCCUGGUCCAGGUGUCACCGAGCACAGGAUUUGGCAUGAGCCAAGUUUUGAGUAAUUCACGAGCCAUAUUGAUUAUUUGGUUGAAAUGAAUAUUCUUGAUGUAAAAAAUUUGCUGAAGUUAAUUAUUUUUUAAUUCUCUCCAUUUACUCGCCUUUAGAUAGUUUAGAUGGUGUUUGUUUACUCACUGGGAUUUAUAAUCUCACCACCCUCAAUUCCCCACAUUUCAGGUUCGGGAUAGCCGGUAGAUAGCAGAUUGCAUCAAGGACUUCAGUUAGCCUUGCAUUGUCAAAAUUAUAGGUUCACAAACUCGCUUCUUAUUGGUUAGUUAGGGGCCCAUGUGUCAUUGUAAAAGUAAUUUAUACUUUAAUUAUCUGAUUUAAAAUAUGUAUGAACAUAUUAAGCUUUUACACCAUGUUUUUGGUGAGUUUCGAUAUUAUCAAAGAAAAAUGACAAAAAUGCCCCUGUGAGCCAAAAAAUAAUAUUUUAUUAUUUUGAUUUGGAAACGACUUAUGAUUUCUUGAAAUGUAAGAUUUAAUAACUGUCGCUCGCUGGGGAGAUGCGGAAGUUGAUGCUAAGUCUUGCGGGGUUUCGAUCAGCAUUCGGGGUAAUGAGUGCCUAUCGGGACGUCGCGACGGUUGUCACGGGCCCGAUGGGAGUUCCGGGUCGUGACAAAAUAUCUAUGUCCAAAUAGAUUUCCCACUAAGCUUCAUAGAAUUCAACUUGUUUAAGUUGGAAUGCAUGUUUUAUUUGAUUAAUUAAAUUGUGUACCAAAAUGACAGCUUUAACAUGUUUGUAUUAAUUUAGACAAGAAAACAUGUUUGGUCUUAAUUUAGACAAGAAAAUAUUCAAUUUAGGCAAGAUAAAAUAUUUUUGUCUUAAUUAAAGGCAAGAGUUGUCUUAAAUUAAGAUAAUGCUAGGAGGAUUCUUGCAAAAUGAAUCUAGAAUCCAUGUUAAUAAAAAGAGACUCCAUAUUUGACUAUAACUCUUUUAUUUAUUAUUAAUUCUUUUUAAAUAAAGAUGGAUAAUAAUAAAAUAAGAGUUAUUAUUCAAUGAAGAAUUUAUUUUGUUAAUAACUCUAAAUGAUAAUUAAAGAAUUAAAUUAUUUAUUCUUUAAUUUUAAUUUUGAUAAUUAUGGAGCAUAUUUGAUGCUUCCAUAACUCUAAAUGGAUAGUUAAGAUCGAUUCAAAAGUGUUUGAAUUUGAUUAAACCUUCAAGGCAAGAGUUUUAAUAAAAGAGAAGAUAUUGAAAAAAAAAGAAAGUAACGUACUUUUUCUUGAAAAAGUUUCAGUUGUCACUUCUCUCUUCCUCUUCCAAACUUUGUCGUAUCUUUCUUCCUUUCUCCAAUACUUGGCUGAAUUUUAUAAAAGAAAACAGCCAUUAAUUUAUAGGAAGAAAAGAGAGACAAAAUCAAUUACCAUCUUGUAGUCUAGCAUUCCACACCUUGUCCACUCAAGGUUCAAGUCGAAAGCAUUUUUUAAGAAUAAGUGAUAAACUUGUUUAAUCGAGAAAUCAUUCAUUCGUGUGGUGGUGUCCGCAAAUAAGAAUCUCAAAAUAAAAGGUAUGUUUUUUUUCACUUAAUAGAUUCUUAUUUUUUAAGGAUGUGAUUACGUUACUUGCAAUAAGAAUGAUGUGUGUUUCCGUUUGUGUAAUUGGAUUGCUCGCUUCCUUUAUAAAAGAAAUUUUUUGAAAUCUAUGCUUUACACAAUCACAUCAAUCCACUAAGAUUUUACUCCAACAUAUUAAAGGUAGUAAAUCGGCCUUGCAGAAAAUUCUUUUAUUUUUGCACAAGUAUGAACAAGUCUCUGGGCAACAUGUUAACCAUCAAAAGAGUUGUUCAUAACACAUCAGAUUAUAGUAAACACUAGAAGGCAAAUCAUCUCUCAAGCUUUAAGAUUCACUCAUAAAUGCUUUCCUAUCACAUACUUGGGAGUUCCUCUCUACAAAGGUCCCAAAAAGGUACUAUUAUUUCAUCACCUUGUAACUAAGAUACGGAAUCAAAUCACAAGAUGGGAGAAUAAGAUUCUUUCCCCAGGUGGCCAGAUAACUCUAUUGAGGAGUGUAUUAUCUUCUUUGCCUACUAUUUCCUUCAAGUUCUUAAGCUUCUUGUCUGUGUCAUUGAAAAAAUUGAAAGAUUAUUUAAUAACUUUUUUUGGGGAGAUUCAACAAAUGGUAAACAUACUCACUGGGCUUCAUGGCAUAAAAUAACUUUCCCAUCUUCUGAAUGUGGUUUAGAUAUUAGAGGCCUAGUAAAUGUGUUUGAGGCCUUUAGUAUUAAUUUGUGGUGGCACUUUCAGACUUGUAGCAGCUUGUGGACACAAUUUAUGAAAACAAAUAUUGUCUUGGUCGAAUUCCCAGUUAUGUUCAGCCGAAAAUUCAUAAUUCACAACCUUGGAAAUGAAUGCUUGCUAGGUGCCUGGUUACGAAAGAACAUAUCAAGUGGUGGAUUAGCAAAGGAAAAUUAUUUUUUUGGCAUGAUUGUUGGAUAGGCAAUAAACCACUGGUAAACCAUUUCCUUACUUUUAUUUCAUCAAUAACAUAAGUUUGCUAUUAUUUUGAUAAUGGUGAUUGGGAUGUGGAUAAAUUGAAAAAUGUGUUGCCAGAUAAGGUUAUUAUUGAUGUUCUAAAAAUUCCUAUUGACACAUCUUUUGAAGAUAUUGCCUAUUGGGUACCCACUUCCAAUGGUAAUUACACCACUAAGAGCUCAUGGGAACUAAUUAGGCAACGACAAACAACAAAUCCUUUGUUUAAUUUUAUUUGGUACAAAAGUAUUCCUUUCACAACUUCAUUCUUUUUGUGGUGGUUGUUACAUAAUUGGAUUCUUGAGGAGAUGAGAAUGAAAACAAAAUGUUUCCAGCUAGCUUUUAAAUGUAAUUGCUACAACUUAAAGGAAUCUCUUCUACAUGUCUUGUGAGAUGGUCCGAUGGCUAAACAAGUGUGCAAUUAUUUUGCAAUAUUCUUUCAAAUCUAUAUUUUCAAUUUACUUACUAUUAUUUAGAUUAUUUGGGCAUGGGUAUAUUAUGGUGAUUAUACUAAGCAGGGACAUAUUCACACCUUAUUACCUUUAUUCAUUUUUUGGUUCCUAUGAGUGAAACAUAAUGAUACAAAAUAUAGGAAUCUUGGUAUGUAUCCCAAUAGAGUAGUGUGGCGUAUUUUGAAGCUUAAAUACUAGUUGCUUUGCAGUAGGCAAUUGGAAAAGUGGCAAUGGAGAAGUGAUACUCAAAUAGCUCAAGCGUGGGGAUUGGAAUUCUAAAGAGAAACGUCCUUAUCACCCAAAAUAAUAUCUUGGUAUAAACCAUUAACAGAUGAGUUUAAAUUAAAUGUUGAUGGUAGUUCCAAAAAUAAUUUUCAGAAUGCUGCAGGAGAUGGAAUAUUGCGAGAACACAUAGGUACGCUAAUAUUUGGUUUCUCAAAAAAUUUUGGACCCAACAAUUCUGUGCAUGCAGAACUAUUAGCCUUAUAUAAAGGUCUUCUUUUAUGCUAAGAGUAUAAUAUUUCAAAGAUCUGGAUUGAGAUAGAUAUUAUGGUGUUACUUCAAUGCUAAAGGAGGAAUAUGAUGGGUCACAUGACAGUCGAUAUUUAUUGGCUUCUAUCAAAAAAUGCUUAACUCAAUUCUCUUAUAGAAUCUCUCACAUACAUCGAGAAGGCAAUCAAGCUGCAAACUAUUUAGCUAAUUUUGGAUAUCAACAUCAAAAUCUGCGAGUUUUCUUUGAAGCUCAAGGUAAGUUGCGUGGAAUUGUAAGAUUAGAUAAACUUACCCUAACUUAUGUUAGAUCUAAAUAAAUGUAAAGGAGUAGUACUCCUUAUUUUAUUUUUAUAUGACUUUAUCUUAGAUUCUUGUACACAUGUAAAUUACUUAUUUUAUGCAUUCCUUAUAACUGCAAAGAAAGUAAUAACCGUAAUAGGAAUUCUUUCUUUUCUUUCUCAUGUAACUCUAGAGAUACUGUUUAGGUCCCCCUCCCUAAUGUACCGUUUUAUUUUUAUUUUAAUUAUUAAUAAAAUAUUAACAAGGUAGCUAAGCUCUGUGAAAAUUUCUAGCAUAAAAAAAAUACCUCGAAAAGUGGGAUUGAAAAAUAUUUUUGGAGCCAAAACAACUCUUGGAGUGUCAAUUUGAUCUUUUACUAACUCAAUUUAAGGGUUUUAUCCUUUUCACUGUAGCUUAAUGAAUACAAUUUUUACACUUUUAUUAAAAUUUAAUUUUAGGAUAACUGAUAAUAAUAUUAAAAUUUUUUAUACCAAAAUUCCAUCUGAUGACAUUUUUGUUGAUGACGAGACAUGUCAAUUUUUGAAUUUUUUAUCACAUGGCACACAUUAAUAUCAAAAAAUUUAUUUUAAUAAGAAAUAUUAAGAAUUAAUUUUUAAAAUCUUAAAAAAUAUUAAUUAUUUAUUUGAAAUAAAAUAAGAUUUUUUAAAGAAAAAAAAACCAUCUUAACAUAACAAUUCAUCCAAGUUAAAUACAAAAAUUUGAUUUCAUUAUUAAUUGUCUUAGAUCAACUUUUAGUAAAGUGCAAAAAAAUUAUUUUUGGGUACAAAGAUUAAAACCAUCUAUUUCAAACAACAAAUAGGGAUGUCAACGAGUAAGGUACCUGUUAAUUUGGAGGUAUCCGAACCUUAACCCUAUUAACUACCCGAAUAAUUUAAAAAUUACUACCCUAACCCUAACCCUAAUAUAUUCUCACUACCCUAUAAUUACCCUAACCCAUUUAAAUAACCGAUUAAAUAAGAAAAACAAUGUGAGUUCUCACCUUUGUGUGCAAGAGAAACGCCGGGGAAUGGACUGCCAAGUAGUUGGAGGGAGAACUUGAAGGUUCUGAUGCUUUUGCUUACGAGCUCCAGAGGAAACUCGUUCAGUGUGCCGUAGUCGUCGACUCCUCUGGCGGCGUUACCUCCUCUUUCUCUCUCAUCACUCCUAACUCUACUGUUUUCCAAGUGAUUAUUGGAGGUGGAGGAGGCGGAGGUUUCUUAGGAGGAGGAGCUGCAGCUCCUGCUAGAGGCACUGCCCCAACGGUAGAAGCACCAGCAGCGAAGGAGAAAAAGAAGGAAGAGAAAGUGAAGGAGAGUGACGAUGAAGAUAUGGGAUUCUCACUUUUCGAUUAAGUGCCUUUCUGUCUAUAACUUAGCAAGUUAUUGUUUACAUUUACAUGUUUCUUUUCUUGGUUUAUGCUACCCCAACUGGCAUUAGGUUUUUUGAGUUAGGAAUUUGAUAAUUUUUUAAGUAUGUGGUUUAUCUUGAGCUUCUAUUUUCAAAUUCUUGUUUUGUUUCAUAUUUCCUUUUCCUCUUAUGUCAUGAUUUUAUGGUCGAUUUGCUAUUGCUUUGGUAUGGAAGAGAAUUGAAAGAACAAAUUAAGUUUAGAAAUAAAGCUACUUUUGCUAAAAAAUAAAUAAAUAAAAUAUUUAUAAAUAGUAGUCGGGUUCGGGUAACGGGUACUCAAGGAAUGAUACUCGAACUCUACUCGAACCCGUUUAUUGAAUACUCUAAUCCGAUAUAACCAGGUAAGAUACCCACAGGUACCCUAUAAAAGGGUACCAGUUGACAUCCCUAACAACAAAUAACGAAAGGACUAAAUUGAACUCCUACACCACAAAAACCUAACACAUUUGAACUCAGACAAAUGCACUGUUCCCGAACCGACCAUUCUCGUGGAAUCAUCCUACUCGUCUUUAUAUCUUCAAUACAAAAACUAUAGUGGCAGUGCUCGUAGAGAAUAAUACACCUUAUCCUAUCCGUUCCUCCAAACUGCAUUGAGCGAAAAUUAGACGUAGCUUUCGAAUUUUCAUCCUCAAAGUCUCCAUUACAAUGGCUGCUAUGCUCUCGCUCUCUCCAAACCCUCCAAUCACAAAUUCACUCUCUCUUCACUCCGCUUUCAAGGUACUCUUCCUUUGACUCUCUUUAAUAAAUUAUGUACAGUAUACUCACAAUUACUGAAUUGAAACUUUCUUUUUAAUAGCAGGGAAAUGUGAGGAAUUUAGGACUAAACCCUUGUCACAUUAUCCCUGUCAGAACCAAGCAACAACAGAUACAGAAACAAGGGACAAGGUCUUUAGUUGUUGUGAACCGAGCAGCAAAAAUCCAAGUGGCCCUUACAGCGCCCACAGUUAGAUUUCGGUUGGACAACCUGGGACCUCAGCCAGGGUCCAGAAAGAAAGGGAAGAGAAAGGGGAGAGGAAUAUCGGCUGGACAAGGUGGCAGCUGUGGGUUUGGAAUGAGGGGUCAGAAAUCACGUUCUGGUCCAGGUGUUAGAAAGGGGUUUGAGGGUGGGCAAAUGCCGCUCUAUAGGCGUAUCCCCAAAUUGAGAGGGAUUGCAGGAGGUAAUUUGCUUGCAUCCGUUCUUAAUUUUGUAUUUAUUUAUUUAUUUAUUAAUUCUUAUACACUUCAAAUGCUUUAUGGGAUUGUGAUACUGGGUUAGAAGUUUUUAUUUAACGGGAACAUGUUUUAUUUUAAGUGGAUUUUGAUUGUUUAAAGUGAUAGCAUUAACUUGUUUCUUUGAACUUUGAACUCUGCAGUUUUUGAGAAAUACUUUACAAAAUUGCUCUCUUAAGUAAGAACUUAAGCAAGCUUGUAGUUUUCUAGUUUCAGUUGUAGAAAUAGUUGAAUAUUCAAUCAAAUGGCUGCCCAAGUCAUGUACAAGUAACCUGUAUGGAAUGUUUUGUGUUUGAGCAUUAUCUUGAUUUGCUGGUAGCAAUUUAAAGUUUGUGCUUUGUCAAUAGUUUAUGAACUGUUUGGUCCGAUUAGAACUACUGUAGGAAGUGUUGUUCAAGUAGAAUUGUUUCAAAAAUGUUAUUAAGACAAGCUAUGAUAGUGUUUGAGAAACUUAAUGCAGAAGUACCAUAGGAUGUAGAAAACUGUUAUUUGAUAGUAUUUUUGCUUUUUUUAAUAAAUACAAGUUUGAAAGACCAAACAAAAUUAAACCUUAUGAAUUUGUUUAAUGAAGUUGAGCCUUUCAUUUUUUUUUUGACAUAAUUGAGCUUAUCAAAAGAAAAAAAAUUUGAAAGAGUCAACUUCAUUAAACAAAAUUAUAAGUUUUGAAGUAAAAGCUCUUUUAUAAGUUGGGCCAAGCACCCACUGUGUAGAUGAGCUUUCAAUGCCUUCUUCAGCAAUAUUUUAGGCUAUGGCUCUCUAAUUAAAUCUUGAAGAAGCUUCAAGCAACAACUUCUAUUGCUUUUAAUUAUGGUUCUUCACUAACAUUGACUUACUACCCAAUUGACUUCAUCAUAGAAGUUUCCUACCUUCUACCUUAUUAGAUGCCCCUUGGAGAUUAUAGAGAGACAAUAAUGAGGAUGGGAGACAUACGAUAGGUCAAUUGAAUGUAGAGAUUAGAGUAUCAGGGGGUAUUUAAUCAGUCUUUUUCAGGAGAUUUUGAUAGUAUAUCACUUAAUCCUUUAUACUAUGUCAACCCCUAGUAUUGUGUCAAAUGUGGAUUUUUGCGAUGAUGCUGGUGUUGAGAUGUUUGAGUAAAGUGAACUAAUUUUCUUCAUCUAGUUAAUGGUAAGGGUAAUAUGCCUGUGGCAAGGAGAACAUUUGUAUAUAUAAGUGUGUGUGUGUGUGUGUGUGUAAUGUGACUAACUUAUACUAUUCUUAGAUGAAACUUAUAAGAUAGCGUUUCGAUUGGUCAAUUAAUGGACAUUCCAUUGAGAUAUAUGCUUUUAGGUCUUUAUCUUCACUGACUUCUCUCUAUGUGGUUGCAUUGGUGAUAAGAGGAAUUUCUAGAUAGUAUAUACAAUUUGAAAUUAAAAAGUUAGAACUUCUAGCAUGGAUUUGACAAUUUUAUUCUCAAUGAGGAAAAUAGAACUAUCUACAAUGCUCUAGGCAAAACAUAAAGAUGAAUCUAUAAUUAAUUUUUUAUAUAUUUUUAUUUAAAAUUGGUAGUUUUAUUCCUCUCUAUGAAUCUUUAACAAGAAGUAGCAUGCACUAUCACUCAAUUUGGUUAAUUCAGCCAAAUUUUACUAAGACAAAAAUAAUUAAAUUUGAGAAUUGUAAUAAACCUAACUAGCUGAGUUGUUUAUGUAACUGGGAACCAAAUUACCAAUAUUCUUGGUUAGUUUGGUUAGGUGUCCUUGGUCAUUGAAAUAUUGGUGAUAUAGAAUCAAGGUUAUAUCAAGUUUUAUCCUAUCUUCUCCAAAAUAGAGGAUUUUGGGCCAUUCGAUUAAACAAAAUGGCGCCACCUAAAGGGCUCGACAUGAGAACAUAUGACACUAACAUGUUAAUAGCAGGUUAAAUCAAGUCUCAAUGUUCAUAAAGAAUUGUAGAAUUCUAAGCAACCUUUAAUCACUGCCUAACCAAUAUGCUUUCAGCUCUCACCACAAGAUUUAAAGCCUAAAGCGGAAAGCUUCCAACAAUCUUGAGUUUUGUGUUGCCUCUUUCUUGAGGCUUUAUUCAGUCUCCUCUUCUACUAAAUUUGGUUUUUCUUUUUCUAUAAGUGCCUGUUUGGUCUGCCUUGUUUUCAUCUUAUUUACCUCUUAAAAACACAAGUCAGGCCAAACAGGAUUUUUAAGAAGCACUUAAGCAGCUUUUUUAAAAAAAAAUAAAACAAAAUUUAAAAAAAAAGAGUUUAACAAAAAGCUCCAAAUAGGAGCUAUUUCUUCUCUUCUUUUAAAAAAUCGCCAGUUUUCAGGAAAUACCCUACUCUCUCAAUCAACCUCCCUCUCUUCCUCGUUCUGUAAAUCGCCAUAUCCCUCUCAUUUACCUCUCUCUACAAAGACUAUCUGGAAAAAAAGAAAAAAAAAAACACCCAACAAGCAAAAUUUAAGAUUUUUUUUUGUUCUUGCAAAGAUUAAGAGAAAACAAGAUUCAAAAUUCAAAUCUUCAUUCAUAUACUAUUUAAAGGUUUUCUCUCUUCUUUACCAAAAGAUUUUAAUGUCAAGUACAUCGUUUUUACUUUUCUAUUUUUUAUUCAAGAAUUGAAGCAUCAUGGUCCGAUUGCUUGCUAAAUCAAUAAAAAUCUAAUACUAUUACUAUUAUAUAAGUUUGAGAGUUGUUUCGUUUUUUUAUAAAUUUGUUUGAUUUUAACAUCGGAAAUCAUAUAUAAAUUCGAAACAGAUUUGUUCCCCUUUAAUUUAUUAAGUGAUUGAAGAUGAUAUGAAUGCCCUUUAGAGUAAUUUUAACCAAAAUUAGAACUCAUACAAUUUAUUUUGCCAAAUAGCUUAUCAAACAGGUUUAGCUUAAUUUUAAAAGCUAUUAUUUUUUAUAAGAGCUUCAUAAUGGCUUUUAAGUUAAAAAAAAACUAGGGCAAACAGGCUCUAAGUGUUGUUUACUGUUGUUAUCUUGAAAGUUUUAACACUUGAGUGCUCUUUUCCGUAAAGUAGGAGUUUGAAUUAGCUAAAAAGAGAAAAAUGGGUACUAUGACUUGCUCCGGUUCUCUCUUCAAAGUCAGGAGCUUUUAUCUUUGAUGGAUCUUUUCUUCUCCAAAAGAAGAUCACUCCAUUAUUUCUGUAAUUCGUCGUUUCUUUUAUUUAUUUAUUACAGAUUUUUAAAUAUUUUUUAUUUUGGAUUUAUAUGGAUGUUAGAAGCAAAAUUCUUUAAGUUAACGGUUGCUGAGGCAUCACAGUAAUAAAUAAAUAAGAAAAUGUAUAUUUAAUAUAAAAAUGUAGUUCGGUUUUUUCAAUCAGUGCAGUUAUGAUUUUCUAAAAGAUUGACGAAUGAAGGAACCCAGUAUUUUAAAAAGAUAUUCCAAAUAUAACUAAAAUGCUGAAAUGCUGAACCAUUUUUACUGAAUUUAUCAACUCUUGAAGUAUUUCACUUUUAACCACAGUUUGCUCACCCUUAGCAAGAAACCAUCCCAUGGUACCAGAAUUAUUUUUUGUUAUGAAGGAAUAAAUCAGAGGAAGAUUUGAUAAAGGUCGAAAUUCAGUUGCUGGAAAUGCUCUUGAAGGACUUUGAAGGAUUUUUCUUUCCUAUGUUCUUGGCUUUGCCCUUUUUGCUUUUUUAUGAACUUAUUUUGGAGCUUUCUUUUCAUAUCCAUUAUUAUGGAGGUCUUGCUUAUCUGAUGAUGAGUCUUAAGGUAACAAAAAUAUUUAUUUGUAUUUGUGUUGCAAAAGCCUCACCAUCUUUUUAUUUAUUUUGGGAUCAAAUUGAAUAAAAUUUAUCAACAAGGACUGGUAAUGAUGUGUCAUUAUUGCCUCAAUUUCUCUUCUCAAGAAUUUGUAGAACAUAAGAGAACUUCAUAUACUAAAUGGAACUAAAUAGUUGUGAUAAAUACUAAAGCCUUAUUAUGGUUAACAGUUUUACUGUCAAAUAUUGCUUUACUUUGAUUAUUCCUACCUAAGCUUGCACAGAAGAACCUAUUCUGACUGGAAUUAUUUGAAGUGUAUUAGCCAGAGUAUAUUGAUCAAACAAGAGGAGGAUGAAAUUUGUUUUAAAAUAAAUUAAUCAAACUUUAAUUUUAUUAAGUUUUUACGUAAAAGCAAGAAUAUUUACAAAAUAUUAUUUUAAAGCAAAAAAAAACAAGUGAUAAAAAUUAAAAGAGUUAAGAGAGAAAGAUAAAGUUUUUGUCAUUUCAAAACUAUGAUCAAUUCUAGGCUAAGUGGAGCUGAAUGAGGGAGUUUAAAAGUUACCAUUAGUGAUGAUAUGAUGUGGUGAUAGGUAGAUGGUAGAGUUUGAAGUGGUUGGGAAUGAGAUGAUAUUUUCAGAAUACCCUAUGAUCCAAGAUUUAAGUGGUCAAAUCAGUUGAUAAACCUUUGUUCCAUCUAUAGCUGAAGACCUACUGCAAUUAUGAAAAUAGUGAAGAUUACUGGAACUUCCUUUCUUUGUUCAUAAAGACUAUUAUGACUUGAAAUGAAUAUUAAAGUUAAAUCCUUUUCUAUCAGCUUAAGUGUUUGGAUAGUUGGUCCUCAUCUACCUGUUUCAUAUUGGAUGAAACCAAACCUUCUCAUUAAUUCUUUAUGUGGUGUCUUGUACAUUGAGCCUUACAUGAAAUACUCUUUUAUUCUUCUUCUGCUUGCACCUUUUUCUACACUUGAUUUUAUGUGCAAAGCCCUUUACAUUCAUUUAGCUUGCACGUGAAUAGGUAUUACACUUAAAUAUUAAAGUUGGUUUCUCUUUUCUAUGACUUAAACUUAUGGGCUAACAACUAUCUCUUUAACAAAGACUUGAAUGUGUAAAAUUUCCUUCUAUUUGGGUGCCUUACCAGGAUAAGCCUUUUCCAUUGUAUUGGUGCUGGCUUCUUGAAUCUUUUUCACUAAGCUUAUAUGAUUAAGAUUUUACUUUAUGAUAUUAUCUUUGUCCCUUGCUUGGAAAGACUUGUUUCCUUUUUUAGGUUUGAAUUUGGUGCCUCUGUUCAUCUUUAUGUAUAUUUGCGAUCAAAGUACCUAACAACUCCCACUACUGUAGAGAGAUGUGUAAGUUAGUCCCCAUACUAUAAUUUUGAGUAAUUUAAGCCCUAUACUUUUCACAUUUGUUGACAAUUGAGGACAAUUGCCAACGCCAUUAAAGAAGACCGUUAUCUAUGCUGACACAGCAAUGAGGUGGUACUAACAUGGCACUGAUGUGUAAAACUUUUCACUUGCAAAUCAAUGUUGUUGAUUUUUUUCCUAAUGUGGAAAUAUUUAAAAAAUUAACAAAAAUUAAAAAAAUUCAAUGAUGUGGCAAUGAAGUGGCACCAUUAAAAUGCCAUGUGUCCUCCCCCCAUAGGACCACUGAAAGUUUUUUUUGAAAAAAAAAACAUUUUGGCCAAGAAACUUGGAAAAAGUUUAAAGGUUUUUACAAUUUUAGUUUUUAUAAUCAAGUUAUUCUUUAUCAAAAUAAUCUAUUUUCUAUUUUACCUUUUCUUCACUCUUUUCCCUUUUUCAGUCUGGUUCUUCUUCCUCCUUCUCUCUCCCCCUUUUCUUCUCUAUUUCUCUGGAAAUUCGAAAACCACCUAUCUUUCUUUAGUACUGCCACAACCACCAGCACCAUCUCCUAUCAACCACCACAAAGAAGACACUUGAAUCACAGAAUGCAAUUUUCUUCAAAACAAGAGUGUCUAAAAAGACCUACACCCAAUCUUUUCUUUCUUUUACUUUCCCAUUAACCAAACAAAACAUCAAUCUUCAAAUCCUCUCUCUGACACAUACACGACACCCAUAGAAACCAUGAAAACCAUGAUAGAUCCAGCUGUGCAAGAUCCUAAUUGCUCUCUAUGCUGAGGUUCGCUGGUGCUCCUACAACAUAUUCUCCACCCAAGAGUCUAGAUUCAAUUAUGGUCUAGUAGACUAGUUUUGAUUAGGGAUGAUGAUGGCUAUGCAACUUUCUAGAUGAAAGUUAAGGAGAUUUUGAGAAAUUUUGGAAUUUGAUGUUAGGAAGGAUUUUAAGAAGAGACUAAGUAAAGAAAAGUAUUAUUUCCAGCAAAUAGGUGCCAAAGAAAAAUUUUGAGCUUAAAACUAAAAGAGAAAAGAAAACAGAACUGAUAUUUUUAAAAAAAUUGUUUAUUUUUGAAAAUUAGUUUCACAUCAAUGAAAAACAUUUUGAAAAAAUUCCAUGUGUUUUAAAUUUUUCUUCAUGUGGAAAAAUAAAAUAGUUGUAAAAAAAAUUAAAAUGCAGUGUGACUCAGAAAUUUUCUUUUUGUUUAUAUUUGAUUAAAAUUCCACAUCACCUAAAUAAACAUUUUUAUUUUCCAUGUCAUUGAUUUGUUAGCAAAAAGUUACAUGUCAGUGCCACCUCAUUACUAUGUCAGCAUAGAUAACUGUCUUUUUUUUAAGGCAUUUAGCAAUUGUCGUCAAAUGUUUUUAAAUGUGAAAAUACAGGGUUUAAAUUACUCAAAAUUGGAGUAUAUGAACUAAAUUACACUUUUCUCUAUAGUAGUGGGACCUACAGGUACUUUGACCAUAUAUUUGCAUACUGGUUCUCUCUUACUAACAUUUUUUUUUUUCUUUUCAUUUUCCUUUACAAGGUAUGCAUGCAGGAUUACCUAAAUACAUCCCUGUCAACUUAAAAGACAUAGAAACAGCAGGAUUUCAAGAGGGAGAUGAGGUGUCGUUGGAGACUUUGAAGGAGAAGGGUUUGAUCAACCCAUCAGGAAGAGAAAGAAAACUCCCUUUAAAGGUACAUAUGAUCUUUGAUUUAUGUUGCGACAACUGUAGGGUUGAGAUUUUGCCUUUUAAAUCCAUGUGUAAGUUUGAUGGCCCUAAAAGAACUUGUUUCUCUUGACCAAUUUGUUGAAUAGAAUGUUCUGUUACCUUAUGCAUGAAGCAUUAAUGCUGACAAAAAUUGAUUCUAGCUUCUUCUAUUAAGUGAAAAUAACAAUGCAAUCGCAAUAAGCUCUGUCAAAAGAAGUGCAUCCUUUGAUUUCGGAGUUCAGUGUUGAACAAUUUAAGAGGUGGGCGACUAGGUGCAUGAGGUUCACUCCAGCUACUAAUUUGCCUAUAUUGCAUACUCUAAUUUGACACUUGCUUUUUAAUUUCGUCUGCAAAAAUACAUUUCCAAGACUCGUGAAAAAUGCUUGCUUUAUUAUGGAAAUUGUUUCACAUUGUAUUCUGUCUUAUUCGGAAUAUGAGGUUAUUAAAAUGCAGAACAGCAUUCAUCUCUUGACAACUGGUUCUUCAAUUUCCAUACAAAUCUUUUUUUUUUUUUUGCCUGCAAUGAAGCAACUAAAAUGUUCUCGUUGAAGAUUCAGCUGGCCAGAGUCCUAUUUAUCAUGUUCAAUUUGGAAACUAUCAAUCCAAUUGUGGUUUCACUUGCUUGUGUUAUCUAUUGUUCCUAAUUGAGUUUGAAAGCCACUAGAAUUUUGUUUUGUCAUAUGUGUUUCUUUUGAUUGAUUUCUUGAACAUUCUUUGCAUAACUGUAUAAAUGGCCACGAUGCUUAGACACAAAAGCAUUUCAUGUUUGCUUUUAUUUCUGGAAGAUUGCAUCUUGCAAAAUCAGCAAAUCAACAGUUCACUAUGGUAACAGGAGUUGCAUCUUUUCUUAUUCUGAUUCUCUGAUUAACUUUGUCUCAGGAAAAGUCAAAAGAAGUGGACCACAUUAGGUCAAAAUGUUCUUCCCUAAUUUAAGACUGAAAGAAUCUUGAUUGCAAAAUCUACUUUUAUUAGUUCAUGGGGAUGGGUUUAUUGAACAUGUGACAUAAUGUUGUUUUUAAAAUAAAUAUUCAUUGUUAUUGAUUAUUUUGUUGAUUUAGAUUCUUGGUGAUGGGGAGCUGAAUCUAAAGCUGAAGUUGAAGGCCCGUGCCUUUUCAGCCUCGGCAAAGGAAAAGCUUGAGGCUUCUGGCUGCUCUCUCACUGUAUUGCCUGGCCGAAAGAAGUGGGUUAAGCCGUCAGUUGCAAAGAACCUUGCACGAGCUGAUGAAUUCUUUGCCAAGAAGAGGGCUGCAGCAGCUGAGUCAAACUCUGCAUGAAAGGCGUACAAUUGCUUUGCUUGAUUUGAUAAAAUGUUGAGAGCAGUGAAGAAAAUUGCUUUGUGUAAAUUUUUUUUCAUCAUUUUGCUCUGCAUUUAGAUUCUUUUUGGGGAGCAAGGGAGGGCUAAUGUUAUUAGGCUGUAAUUCCUUGGAUUCAUUCAAUAUUUUUUGUCAGUUUUCCAUCUUCCUAGAAUUCAAUCAGACAAUUCGCUCUCACUUUCUCUUAGUUAUGCUUUUGUGAUAGAAUGAAUGCUUCUCAAAACCCAAAUAUGAUUUGUUGGGCGAGACUUUUUAUUCAUUUCAUUCACUAAAAAGAAGGAAUCUUUUUCAUGGUGGCGGCAGACAUAAAUCAAUAAUGCAAUUGUGUUCUUCGCUCACCUUGUGGAGCUAUCCGAAUUGAUGCACUAAGAACCCACCCACAGUGGGGGGUGAAAAUUCUCACUUGAUAGAGAAACAAAGCGGGCCCUGGGGCCUUUGUCCGACAAUCUCUCCCUCAUUGGUGACCUUUGCAACCGAAUUUAGCGUGGUCCAGUUUGUUGGUAUGCACAAAGAAGAAUCCCAAAUAGAAUUUCAAUGUUUAAAAAGAAAAAUAAAGAAUGGAUCAGCUUGAAUCCUUGUCACAUCACCAACGGCUCCUGUCACUCUUGUCAUUGAUUCCCAUCGUUGCUCUUCUACAUCUCAUCGUUGCUUCCAUCUGCAGGCAAGACGCCACUGCGUUAUAUCAGUAAGGCGUCACGCCCAAAGACUGUGCGAUAAGAAAAACGGUGGGGUGGGGAGUCAGCCACCUGGGAUUUUCUUUUAAUUAGUCUAUGAUGGUUUGGGUUCUUCUUUAUCUUGACAAAAAAACCAACAGAUGAAGCUUUUUAGGAAGGAUUUAGCUACCAAUUGCUGUUCAGACAAAAGGAAAGUGAGACCCAAUCAAACACUUUGCUUUUCCACAAGGUUUCCAACGCCCAACUCAUUAAGUAGAAAUAAGUUAAGACAAUGGAAACCUUGUUUAUUUAUCUUGUCACCUCAUGCAUUGCUCUUUCGAAAAGUAGUAGUUGCGUGGAUUCUGUUCACGGUGAUGGCGAAAUGUUGUUUGCCUGGCCUGCGACUCAACUAGGAGUGGUAAUUAUUGAGAGAGCGACACAACUAGUGCUUUGCUUGUUUAGCUGAGGGCCACUCUUCUUGCUUCCUAGUUCCAUCUUUUUAUCAUUCGCUGAUAGUGUACGUUAAAUAUAAACUUUUUAUCUUAAACCUCUAUUAAGAUUUUAUAUUUAAUAUAUUAUCAGUUUAUAUAAUUUAUACAUCAUCAAUGAAUGAGAGAUUACCAUCUUAUUAAUAAAUAAAUUUAAAAAUAUAGAAACCUUUCGAUCACCUUCUUUAAUCAUACCAAACAUAAUCAUUAUUGACUACAUCCCGAAAUCUCUUUCUAUUUCCUUUCUUUUCCUCCAUUGUGAAGCUAAGGACUUUUUAUCUUUUGUAGGAAAAUCCCCUUCUUUAGUCUUGGAAAAUCAAACAAAUUGAGUGAUCCAUCCAAAUAAGCACAAGGAGUUUUCUCGUGUGUAUCAUUCUUUCUCGCAUAAUUUAAGCCCAUGGUAACUCAAUUCCAAAUGCUUCUUUUGUUUUUUCAUAAUUUGUAUAGAAAAUCAUUUGCUCGUUAAAUUCAAACUUUUGAUUUUAAUGAGAAAAGAUGAGUUAAUUAGAUGUAUGUUUCUUCAAUGAUUUUCUUUUAAAAGGGAGGGACUUAGUUUUUUUAUCUGUGUUUAUUCUGGUUUUGGAUGUUGCAUAUGCAAGAAUAUGUGUUUGUUGUUGGAGAAAAUUCAUCCUAUCUGAAUAUAGUCAUGCAUGAUAAGUCAAUUGCUCAAUAAGAACCAAAUUUAUUGAAUUCAACACAUUAUUACAAAGUUUGUGAACUCAUAAAUAGAAAGGGGAACAACAUAAAAUAGCUCAGUGCAACUCAUCAGAAUCUGCAAUCAAAACUUGCACCCAAACAAUAUCCAAAAGUUAAUUUGCUUCUCUGUAAGUGUACAUAAAGUAACCUUCCCUAUUAUUAUUAUUUUUAAUCUGUCAAUUUCAUUGAAGGUCUACCUCUUAUCUCACAAUCUUGAAUCCUGUUUACACACUUAAGAUAAUGCCACCUAAGUAUCAAAUUCAAUUAUAAGAUCUUUUUUACCCAACCAAGAGGACAGUCAAAAGAAAUGAAGAGCCAUUUUGAUUGCCAAUUCAACAUAAUUCGAAUCUUGUUUAUCAAGAGGGUCGAAAAAAAUACCAUCUAUUGAACUAGAUGUGUCGCUCAAAACUUCUCUACAACUAAUGGGGUCUAGUUUACCUCUCGUCAAACCAUUAACAUUAAAUUUCAAUUCAUCUUCUUUUGGAUAAAUUCAAGAAAUUCCUUUGCUAGAAUCAACCUUAUUACAAGCAUAAGCAAGGACCGAUUGAUUUGACCACCAUCCCAACUUAUCAAUUGCAUUAUUCCUCUCGAUAGCUUGGAUCCAAAACAUAUAUCUCAUCUUGAUCUAGAAAAUCAUUUCUUCUUUAUCCCACCUUUUCCUAUUGACAAUUGCCUAAUUCCUAGUAAACCAUAGAGACUAAAAGGUAGCACCACAAAUUGCUAGCCAUUUCUUUUUAAAAGUGUCACAAAAAAAUUCAUUUUGGCAGAGCAAAAUUUUCUAGAUAGAGGCAAAUAGACUUUCACACACAAUAGCUUUAAAUAUUCUUUCUCAAAUUCUCUUCUCCUUAGCCUUUCUCUUCCUAUUCUUAGCCUUCCCCUACCACUUACCUAUUCUCCACACCUUAUUUACUCUAUUCUUAACCUUACUCUACCAUUUACUUAUUAUCUCUCAACUAUCACAGCAUUCAAUAUUUCAAAAACUGCUUUAGUCUUUCUUUUCACCACCUUUAACGGAUCUUUUUUUUUUAUUUGCAACAUUACCUUUUCUUACCACAAGAACCCUUUACAUUUUGUAUGAUCCAUCAGAGAGGCAUGAUUGAACUAAGUAAAAUUUUACUAGAAAAGCCUUGCAUUACUAGAAGAGAUGAACAAUUCUACCAGUAACCAAUUCGAAUCUAUUUCCACUUACAUCCAAGACUUGAUGAAAAUGAUCCAAGUGUCUUAGGAGAGGAUGUAAACAUUAGAGGAUAACAAUAAGCAAAUGAUGAGAUGAUAUCCCAACUUGUAUCCUUUUUUGCUACUAGUUCUCAAGCUUAACCUACACAACUUAAUGACAACGAAAAUGUUCCUGACAAGUCACUCUCUUGGUUACGAACACAAAUGGGAAUGGAGGAAAUGGAGAAAAUAUUGUUGAUGUGGUAGUCACUGAAAAUCCUAACAUGACCAAUCCCCUUAUGGUAGUUAUGCUAGCCACUACCUCCACUACAGUGAUCUCGCCAAACAAAACUUAGGGAUUUAUGACAAAACAAGAGCUUUGGAGGUUACUCAAUCAAAAGAAUAAGGGCUUGAACUUUUUUGAAUUUGAUCUUAAAUGGCUCGACUUAACUAAUGUAAUUGUUAAGCCAUAUCCUAAGGACUACACCAACCUCGAGUUCAAGCAAUUCAAUGGUAAGCUCAGGGAUGCAUGAAAGCUUGUUAUGAAAUUUGUGGAAACCUUUAGAGUAGCGAGAUUGGAUGAUGAUUUGAGGUUGAAGAUAUUCUCCAAGCCUCUUAUGGAAAGAGUCUAUACAUGGUGUGUCAAUUUCAACCUUAGUUUUGUGGAAUCUCGGAGCCAAAUGUGCAGGAUGUUCGAAAAGAAAUUCUUCUCUACUUAGGAUGUCACGACCCGGAACCUCCUUCGGGCCUAUGACAACCGCCGCGACGUCCUGACUGACACUCAUUACCCGGAAUGCCAAUCGGAACCCCGCAAGGCUUACGUAUCAGUUUCUUGCCUUUCCUGUGAGCAAUCAUUGUUAAACAUUCCGUUUUAACCAAUUACCAGUCGUUUUCGGCUCAAGUAAAUCAAAAGACAAAAAUAUAUUCUUUUUUUAAAAAGAUUUAUAGACAAAUAUUAUUAUUCAAAAUAUUGAUUAAAAUAUAGCAUUUUUAUAUAAAACAAUAUUUAUAGAAACACGUGUAAGUAAUCUUUUGUAACGUUAAAGUAAAAUAAAUUCAUACAUACAAUAAUUUACAAAGUUAUAAUGUACAAUAAUAAUUACAAUGACAAGUGGCCCAUAAAUACACCAAGUGUUGGUGAUAGUAACCUACUGUCUGUGAGAUAAAGGGGUCAACUGGAAUCCUCGACAAAAUCGGGUAUCUACAAGCUACCACAAGCCUGAAAUAUUUGGAAAGGAGGUCGUUGAGAUUUUGCAAUCCCAAUGAGUAAACAAACAUUAUUAUAAAUAUCUAAAGGCGAGUAAAAUGGAGACAAGUUUAAACAACAAAUCACAAACCAUUUCAUAAGGUUUUCAAUUAUUUCUUAAACCAUAAAAUAUUUGUAAUUUACCAAAACAGUUGUUAAGGCUUAUGGCUUUUAUUAAAAACAAGGCUCAAGCAAAAAACUAAUCCUCGGGGAUACCUUGGCAGAGGCAUCUAACCGAGUCUGCCAAGGUUGUUAAGAUAUUUACAUGUUAAACACAUGUUAGUUUUGAAAACAAGCCGUUCCUUGGCGUUAGCCAAGUUACACAUUCAUGUGGGGGUUCGACGUGAAGUGAGCUCUAACAUUACCCAGGGAGUUACCCUCAUCGCCUUUACAACCGGAGUAACUAUGCAACCGGGUUUACUGUACCCCUCUAAUAGGCAGUCCACGGAAAUUCAUCACUGCAGUGACUAAACCCACCAAUUUUAAUAAAAUUUCGACAGUAUAACGUAGCUUUUAUUUAUUUACCCAGCCUGCAUAGUAAAAGACAGUUUACAUAAAUUCCCAAUGCAAUUAUAAAAUAUAGACACAUAUACUCAUAUAUCAUAAGCCAUUCAUAGGAAAAUAUAUUUUUCAAGACAAUUGGCAGCCUCCAAUUACCCAAUUUCAUAAUCAAAAGUUUCUCAUUUCAGAUAAUCAAUAUUAUAUAUUUAUUUGUCACAUUUAUUUCUAAAACAUCAAAAGUUCCAUUUUAAUCUCAUUUUCGUUUCAUAAAAUACAUAAAGAGCAUUUAAAAAUAAACUUUAGAUAAUUUACAAUAAUAAUAUGCUUACUCACUGUUUGUACAAAUUAAAUGCUUUCUAGGUGCCCCGAUCACUGUUCGUCGGGUAUGACUUCCUUGCCUUUACCGGAAGGCUCUCCUCCUAGACACAUUGCAAAAAUUACACAAUUCACCACAUUGAUCCUAAAUCACUAUAUAAUUGACUUAAAUCCUAUACUAAUGCAUGGUAUGAAAUGCAAUAGCCUAAAACGGCUUAAACGCGGUAUUAACCUAUUUUUGGCACUUUACCUGAUAAAUUGCUAACGCGCUCCAUUUUAGCUUUAAAUUGUCCCAUUUUCUCUCCAACAUUUCUAACCAUUAAAUAUCAGCCAAUAACCCUCUAAAAUCACCAAAAUCAGCUCACUUUCCUCCUUGAAAAAUUAGGCCAAAAAUGGGACAUUAACUCGGUUAAUUUUCCACUUUGUUUUUCUAUCACAUUUAACCAUUUUUCAUCAUUUUCUCUUCAUUUCUCUUAGAAUAAAAAUCAGUUCAUCAUCAUUGUACAUCAUUGAAUAUUCGGCCAAGGGUGGGUAUUGUGAGAAUUUCAUGCUUUCUUGCCCAAUUUGAUUUCUAUACACAUUUAACUAACUAAAACUACCAAUUUAACUAAGAAUCAAAACAUAAAAAUUUCAAAAUCCUUCCCCUUGAAAUUCGGCCAGCCCUUGGUAUCACUUUUUGAUCUCUCUCCUCAAGCAUGCUAAAUGGAAACAAAGGCAUAGGAAAGGUAGAAAUCAAGCUAAAGUCGAAAAAUCUUACCGUUAGACUCGUAAACGGACGAAAAACGUGAAUUUCCCUUUGAAUUUUCUAGUUUUCCUUUGGUUUUUAUCUUUUCUUCCUUUCCUCUCUAUUUUCUCUCUUAUUUUCUCCUUAUGGCCGACCAUCACCUGAUGUGGGGUUUAAAUGGGCUGAUUUUCCUUUAAAAUAAUAUUAAAUCAUUAAAAAGUGUCAUGUGUCACUUUUCCAUUGACCCUUUUUUAAAAUUUCGUCCUUUCAACUUCAAUUUUUCACCACUUAAAAUACCAUAGUUAUUCAUACCAAAAAUAAAUAAAUCCUAUGAUUUUGACAAGUUUUGGGUGGUGAAAUUUACGGUUUUACCUCGAGAUGACAAAAUUACCGUUUUGCCCCUAUGUUCCAAAAAUUGCCGAAAUUGAAAAUUUUCACUUCCUAUCAUUAAAUUAUACUCCAAAUAGUUAAUCUUGAUCAAAAAUUUCACUCCAUAAUCAAAUUAUUAUCUUAGGUGGCAAAAUGACGAUUUUGCCUCUGAACAUCAAAAUUUUCAAUUUUUCCCUAAAUGAACCCUCGAACUCCGAACAAUCAUUUUUAGUCAUUCCUGGACUGUAAAAUAUUAAAUUUCAUCAUACGAUUCCUAUUUGAACUAGUUCGAGGUUAAAUCAACUCAAGUGUACCGUUAGGUACAAUACUGUGUUUCGUCUUUUCUUAGAGACUUUCUUAGCGUAAUAAUAUGCUACUCAGUGCAUGUAAGUCAUGACAUGUGUUUAUAGGGUCGAGUUUUACAUAGGAGAAUAUUACCUCUUAUUGACUUAGGAAGAGAGCAUCAAAAGUCUAGAAAGGAUCUCAUGGAAUACAUCUAACACUUUAAAGAAAGGGUGUUAGACAUACAAAAGUCUCAUGAUGGAAGGAGUUUAUGAAAGUUUGCAUCCAAUGGAUAUUUGAUGAGUAUAUGUUACACUUGAAAACUUACCUCUUUCCACUUUUACUACUUUAGUUGAAAUUGCACAAAAGACCAAUAAUAUGAUUCUUAGACAAAGGGGAUAUAGUCAUUUUCAAAUAAGGAAUACCUCGACAAUGAGUAAAAUUCAAGGAAAAAGAAAAGAAAGAAGAGGCCAUCAACCUAAUCUAUGUCCUGGACGAGAUAACCUAACAAAAAGACAAGAUUAAGAGGUUGAUUCUCCCCAACUAUUCUUAGUCCACCAAAUAGAGUGACAACUCUUCUCCACAAAUGGAUUAGGAAUGGAUGGAUCUGUUGGGUUUGGCUAUGAACGGCAUGCUCGAAAUUAUACAACAAAAAGAAAAUUAAAACUUUAAAAACAAAACAUACCUCCACCCAUGAAUCACCAUGGUGAUAUUUUAACACAUAGAAUGGCAUAUAAAAUCAUAAAAUCAGAAGCUAACCUUGCCAACAUUCUUUUGAUCGAAAUAGCAGUUUCCUCAACACAACCCGUAAACACAACAAGAAGCAAGAACCCUAUCGAAUCAAGCUCUUGACCUCUAACAGUAGUACAUACAAUUUCACUUGAACUGUGCUACCAAAAGGGGACAAUGCUUGUCCCUUUCCAUUUCUCACAGGGAUGGCCGAAUCACACACUUGAAAAAUUGCUUCAAAAAUAAUUUUUCUCCUUCACAAAAUAAGUUAUAAAACACAAGGAGAAAACCUUUUUUUUUCUUUUCUAACAAGUCUUUUUCUUCAUAUGUGGAAAAAUAGUUAAAUGUAUUUAUAUAGCUAGGUUAAAAUUAACUUUAAUUUUGCAAUAAGGCCCUCCAAAUUAUAAAACAUUACAAUAUAGGGCCAUGACUUAAUUAAACUAUUUUAAUUAAGCCUAAUGGAAAUUAGAUUAAAAUAAUUUCCUUUAUAUUAUUGCAAUUUCAACAUUAUAAUUUUAACUAUUUAUCUAUUAUGCCCAAAACUUAAUUAAACUCUUUUUAAUUAGGUUUAUAGAAGUUAAUUACCUAACAUGUGAUUCAAGUCUAACUUAAAUCAUCAUUUUCCCAAUUUAAUUCAAAUGCAAUCAUUCUAUGUAACCCAUUAGAUUCCUAACAUAUUAGCAAUGAAAUUGAUUAAUGACUUUAUUGAUUAAUAUAAAUAUUAAUCAAUUAAUUUAUAAUCAAUUUCAUAGACCAAGAUUGGCAUCUAGCAAAUGCAUCAUGGCCACUCAAUUAUUAGCAAAGUAAAAGGAUUUUUUGACACAGUUUAUCAGUGUGAUUCAUUCCCUCAUCAUGUAUCCUAAAGAUGAUAAGACCUUGGUACAAUAUCUACUCUUAUUGACCUUUAUAUUUAUUCCUACAGUUAUAGUAUUAGCUUUAUAGAGACUUAUGAAACUUUUUCAUAAUCUCCAAGUCACCUUGGACAAAGACUUUGAUAAGCUAAUGUUAACCAAAAAUUGAUAGGAUAUGUUCUCUAAAACACUUGAAGUGAUGAUUUUUUUUUUUACUAUUCAUUUACCUUCACAUGCUUCAUACUAUACCAAAAAGCAUAUUUGGUUAGGCACUCGUAGGGAUGAAAUUAAAGUAUUGCAUUUCACAUAUAAGAUAACCUGGUAUCUCAAGUCUAGGGAGUAUUUACACGACUGACACAUAAGAAAUGUUGCAUAGACACUGGAGUGUAUUACCAAAUGCACUUCUCAUGGCGGGUCAUGUUCAAUGAACUUGCUCUCCUACGCAAGCACCUACAUUCUAGUUCCAAGUAUCUCUACACUUCAAUCUAUGAAAUCAAUUGCUUAUUUCCAAAGUAAGGAACAUAAAAUGUACUAGUCUCUAAGCAUCAUUGAUGUUCAGUCUUAAUGAUACAUUGACUAGGAAUAUUUUGAGAUUAUACUUGGAUGCAUAAGGAUCUCAUAACAAUAACCCAUUAUAAUUCCCUUACAAGGCAUAUUAAUAUCAUGGAUUCCAUCUAAUUAGACUUAUAACUCAUUAUAAUUAAUGUCUUAUUGAUGAAGAAAAACCUCUAAUCAUUCAAUAUGAAUGAUAUCAUUGCAUGAUUGGAACUAAGCCUUGACUAAUCUCAAUUGGUUGCAGGGCUCAUCCUAAUAGGAUGAACAUGACCUACAUUUUGCGACCAUUAACAACAAAAAGAAGCACAACCAAAGAUAUUGUGAUCAUUUCCAGACAAUUGGUCAUUCUCUUAUUGAAUGUAGAAACCUGCAUAAAAUAUUCCAAUUAAGGGUGCAAGUAAGAGAGAUACCGAUUCAAAACAACAAAGUCUAGAAUAACUUAUUCCUUACUCAUGUGUGAUACUUCUAUGACUUUGACUCUUAAUUACUUUAUGUAUUGAAAUUUAAAACUUGCAAAGAAAAUAAAUUCACAUUUCAACUACAACUUUAUCACUAAUGCUUUAGUUGUAAUGAUUUUAUACUAUUAGCCAUAAGCUUUAUCGCUCACUAAUUCAUAUUUCAGUCGUAGCUUUAUCACUCAUACUUUGGUUACAAUGAUAUUAUGAUAUAGAUUGGAAGCUUUAUCACUCAUUUUUUUACCAUAGUUUAUCACUUAUAAUUCAACCAUAACUUUAUUGUUCAUACUUUGACUUUAACUCGAUAUACUACUAUUGGCAACAACUUUAUUGCUUACUUUUUGGCUAUAGCUUGCUAUUCAUGAUUGCAACUUUUAUGCUUAUUUAAAGGGUUGAACUGAUCUCAUUCAUAUUAGGUUAGUAGGUAACCUCCCUAAUAUAAAGUUUAGAGUUCCCUUUCAGCUGUAUUUAGUAAUGUAAAGUGUUUUUUUUUCCUCAGAUGAGCCUAUAAAGCUAAUAAAGGAGUUAGUAAAAGCAACAACAAAGUAAGUAAUGGUUUAGUCAACUAUGGAGUCCCAUGGAGAAGGGUGUCGUUAUUUCUAGUGUAGGAAAAGCAUCCAAUUCUCAUUGCCAUUUCGCUUCAAGAUCCUAUUGUGAGACCUCAACCUCUAUAGGCUUGUAAUUAGGCAUAGAUGUAAGAACACGGGUUAGGGGUAGUUUCGUCAUUUCCCUAGUAAGCCUCUAAAAGUAAAUUUUAAACAAUAUUAAGGCCUAAGUAGGCCUAAGGCAUAAAUGAAUGAUGAAAAUAUGGGUAAAAUGACGAAGGAAAUAAAAAUGAUGAUGAUUUUCAUGGUAAGGGUAAAAUGGUCAUUUUUCACCUCGAGUAAAAAAUUUUAAGUUUUUGCUAACCCAAGCAUUUAUAGACCAUGAUGGACCUUGUCCUAGUGUCAAAAGAGUAAAAAGAUUGCAUAAAGGAUUGGAGGACAACAAGUUAACUUGUGAGGGCAUUUUGGUAAUUUAAGUGGAGUGGAUAAGCUUAGGCUAUAAAUAUCUUUUUCUUCUAGCAGCUUCUUCUCUCAUUUUCCAGCAGCUUCUUCUUCUUUUUCCUUCUUCUCUUUCACGUUGCUUCCAACCUCCAUGAAAGUUUGAUAUAAACCUCCAUAACCUCCCUUAAAAUAGCUCCACUUUUUAUGCUUUUGGUGCACCCUUUCAUAAACCCUUGUGCUCUUCCACUCUCUCACUUAAAGACCCUUGAAAAAUCUUAAUUUUCAUACUCUCUCUCACUAGUUAAGUGUUUUAGAGAAAGAAAGAGGAAGCUUCAAAAAUAGCUUGUAAGUUUUGGAAAGAAUUUCAAAUACAAGCUACCAAGGUGAGUAGUACACUAGAAUUGAGUUUUAGUGUUGAAAAUGAUUAGUGUUUAAACUUGGGGGUGAUUUGGUAGUUGAGGUUGUUCAUUCACUUUAGAGUGAGUAGGAUGGUGAACAUAGAUGGCCACUUAAAUGGCAAAUGGAAGCUAACUAAGAAAAAGCUUUUAGAAUUCAUAAGCAUGUGAAUUGACUUAAUGGUGAUGCUAAUGUGAUGAUAGGUUUCAACGAAGCCCCACCGUCCCAUUUGGACCAUUAGGGAAGUUAGAAUCGACUAAAGGUUCAAUGAAAUACUGGUGAGUGAACUUGCAUUUCAAAACUGUUUUGGGAAUGUGAAUGUAUUUGCAUAAUGCCUUUGAAUGAGUUUAUUCAACUUUUCUUAAAAAUGGGUACCUUGGGAACAAGCUUUUGGAUUAUUGUCUUUAUAUAUGACAUGUGGCUGCUAUGGAUUCUUGUUCUAUGUCAUUGUGUUGAUAUACAUAUAUGUUGUGCAUUUAUGGCUGACAUUGUGUGAUAAUGAUAACCGUGUGUGUGCACGAUGUGGGGGGAUGCACAUGAUGGCACUAAUUGUGCACGAUGUGGGGGGAUGCACACGAUGACUCCGGCUAUGUGCACGAUGUGGGGGGAUGCACAUGAGCUGGAUGAGAUGAUAGUGAUAUUGGUAUUUAUCCAUGUAUGCAUAUGUAUAUAUGUUUAGAGAAUGAAAACUCAUGAAUAUGGUUUAUGGUUGAAAUGCAUAUGAAUUUGGCAUGUUGAACUUUGGAAAUCUUUAUGUGUUUUAUGUUGAUUUUGUCAUUUCAGCAGGAUGGCCUUUUUCUUGAAAGAACGGAAAUAUUUCUUUGGUGCUCUGUUUCUCGCUGCAACGAGAAUGAUUUUCGCUGCAGCGAGAAACUCUCGGGUUUCGAGGGGAAAUGCGGGCCAAAAUCUCGCUGCAGCGAGAAAGUUACUGUAGCUUCUCGUUACAGCAAGAAUGAAUCUCGCUAUAGUGAGAAACUUUCUAUUUUAUGGCAUAAAUUUCUCUGCAGCGAGAAUAAAUUCUCGCUGCAGUGAAAAACUUUCUGUUUUGUUCCUUAUUUUGUUCAGUUGCUGACUAUUUUCCACUUCUUUGGUACCAUAGUUGAGUAUGGACUUCUAACAUUAAGGAAUUAAUUAGUUAAGUUUGAAAUGAGGAGGUUUGGUCAGAAACCCUCGUUUGGCUAAUAACUUGAAUCCUAACUUCGUUGCAGGGACAAUUCAUUCUCGCUACAGCGAGGAUCCGUCGUUUAUUUGACUUGAUUCGCAUGAAUGCUAUUAAAGUUUUCACUCUCCAAAUCCUUUGUUGAGCAUGGACCCUUUUCAUAAGGUGAUUUACUCAUGUAGGGUUUACAUGAGGGGUUUUAAUAAGAACUAAAAUAAAUUGCAUUGUUUUGAAAAAUCAAUGCAUCAUGAUUUCGUUAAACAUUUCUUAUUGUUUGCUUGUUCCCUUUCUUGUUCACUCACUAGGUUUAUACUCACCGUUUUCAACUUCAUGUUUUCAGAUCAAGAGGCAGCCGGUAACUAGGUCGAGGUGCCCUUGUAGAUUCGUUUUCUUGGUAGGUAUCUCAGCAUUCAGUAGCCGUACAUCACUCGAGUCUCUCCACUGGAAAUUGAGUAUCCUUGUGUUGUGUAUAGACAAACCAAUGUAAAUUAUUAAAAUAUAUGUUGUAAACAACAUAUGUAUAUUUUGAUGGGAAUGCCACUACGAAUGGACAAUGAUUAGCAUUAUUUUGAUCCAAAUCUAUGAAAUGUGACUUUAGCAACUUUGAUGGAAAGAAUGAAUAGGUCAUAUUAAUAGGCUUGUUUGGGCUUAGUGGACUACGUCCAUUGGGCUCCAUUGGGCCCAUGCACCGAUCAUGGCUCAAAAUUUGGGUCAUGACACCUAUAGUGAAACAUUCUUUGUUAGGAUUGUCAUGACCCAAAUUUUGGGCCAUGACUAGCGCAUGGUCUCAAUGGACAUAGUCCAUUAAGCCCAAGCAAGCCUAUUUAUAUAAUCUUGCUCGUCCUCCUGUCAACUAUUCUUACAUUUACAUCUCAUAAUCUCAACCCUUAAGUACUUUAAUAGUAAGUUAUAACCAUCAAAAACUACAUUUAUAUUAAUCCAAAAUAACAUUAACCACUACCACUCAUGGUGGCUUUACCAAUCAAAAUAUACACAUAUGGUCUAAAGCAUACAUCUUAGUACUUUACAUCACAUGUACGUAUUUACAAACAUAAUUGACUCUGGACUUCCAACGGAGUGACCAAAGUGAAGGUGCGGCUAUUGAAUGCCGAGAUACCUACCAAGGAAACGAAUCUACAAGGACACCUUGACCUAGUUACCAGUGAGUGAACAAGGAAGGGAACAAACAAACGAUAAGGAAAGUUUAAAGAAAUCAUGAUGCACUUAUUUUCAAAAACAAUGGAAUUUAGUUUAGUUCUUAUUAAAACUCCUCAUUAAACCGUUAAUGAUUUAAUCACUUGACGAUAAAGGAUCCAUGCACAAUGAAUUAUUUGAAGAGUAAAAACUUUAACAACAUUCAAGCAAGUCAAGUGAAACGACGGGUCCUCACUGUAGUGGAAAGGCAUUCUCACUACAGUAAAAUUUGGGCUCAAAUUAUCAGCUGGAUGAAGGUUUCUCAACUGGCCGAGGGUUUCUCUCUAAAACCCCUCCUUUCAAACUUAAUUAAAUAAGUUCCUUAAUGUUGGGAGUCCAAGAUCAACUGUGGUGUUAAUGAUAAGAAAAAUGGGGCAGCAACCAAACAAGGUAGCAUGCAGGACAGAAAGUUUCUCUCUUCAUUCUCGCUGCAGCGAGAACCAGGCUAGUAUAACCCUCCAAACCCGAGAGUUUUUCACUGCAUCGAGAAUGAUUCUCACUGCAGCGAGAAACAUGGCACCAAGGAAAAAUUUUCAUCAUCUCAAAGAAAGGCCAUUUUGCUGAAAUGACAAAAUCAACUUGAAACACUUAGCAAUUUCCAAAGUUCCACAUGCAAGAUUUUACAUGCAUUACAACCAUAUACCAUAUUCAUGACUUUAUAUAACACACACACACACACACACACACACACACACACACACACACAUAUAUAUAUAUAUAUAUAUAUAUAUAUAUAUACAUACAUCAUCAAGCAUACCAUCCCACCACACUGAGCUCAAUGCAAUAUCAUUAUCAUGUGUGCACUCCCUACUCGCACACUUCAACGUCAUCAUGUGUGCACUCCUUACUCGCACACUUCAACAUCAUCAAACAACAUUAUUCAUCANAUAUACACACACACACACACACACACACACACACACACACACACACAUAUAUAUAUAUAUAUAUAUAUAUAUAUAUAUACAUACAUCAUCAAGCAUACCAUCCCACCACACUGAGCUCAAUGCAAUAUCAUUAUCAUGUGUGCACUCCCUACUCGCACACUUCAACGUCAUCAUGUGUGCACUCCUUACUCGCACACUUCAACAUCAUCAAACAACAUUAUUCAUCAAUGCACAACACAUAUUCAUAUAUAUGCACACCAACAUAAUAUAUGAGCAUAUGGAUUCAUCCUUUUACACAUUUCACAUUUCACAACAUCAUAAAAACAUUUUAUCCAGGGCUUGUUCCUUGGCACACAUUUUUAAAGAAAGGUUGGAUAAAAUCAUUCAAAUGUUUCACCCAAAUACAUCUACAUUUCCCAAAGAAAUUUUGAAAUGCAAGUUCACUCACCGGUAUUCGUUAAAUCUUGACUCAACUACAACUUCUUCUAAUGGUCCAAAUGGGGUGGUUGGGCUUCGUUGGAACCUAUCAUCACAUUAGCAUCAUCACCAUCAACCCAACUUAGCAUUAAUAUUAUUCCAAAACUAUUUUCUAAAUUGAGUUCUACUAGUCAUUCCUGCUAGCUUCCAACAACCAUUAAAUGGCUAUUAUUUGCAUUACUCUAGUCACACUAAAAAUGAUUAAACAAUAUCAACAAUAAAAUACUCACAAAUCAAAUUACUAGACAUUAUCAAUAACUAAAAUAUCAACUCAAUUUCAACACUCACCUUGCUAGAUUUGUAAUUGGAUUCCUCCUCAAAAAUUUCCAAACUAUUAUAGAGAGUCUUUCUUUCUCUCUCUAAAACACCUAGCUAGUGAGAGAAAGUAUUGGUUUAAGACUUUAGAGGGUUUUUAAGGUGAAAGAGUAAAAGAGCACAAAGGGCUUGUGAAAAGGUGCAUAAAAGCAUGAAAUUUAAGACUAACUUGAGAGAGUUAUGGAAGCUUGAAGAGAACUCCCAUGGAGGAUGAAGAAACGUGAGAUGGAAGGAAGAAGAAUAAGAAGUUGCUAGAGAAUGAAGAAGCCGCUGGAAGAAAAUGAUAUUUAUAGCUAAAGCUUAUCCAAUCUCUACUUAAAUUACGAAAAUGCCUUCAACAAGUUAGCUUGUUCUCCUCCAAUCUUUUGUGCAAUCUUUUUACCUUUUUUACAAUGAAACAAAGUCCAGAAUGGUCUAGAAAUGUUCAGGUUCACGAAAACUUAAAAAUUUUGACCCGAGAUGAAAAAUGACCAUUCUACCCCUACUUUGAAAAUCAUCAUUAUUUUUAUUUCCUUCGUCAUUUUAUCCUUAUUUUCAUCAUUCAUUUACGCCUUAGGCCUACUUAGGCCUUAAAAAUGUUUGAAAGCACACUUCGAGGGGCUCACUAAAGAAAUGACGAAAUUACCCCUGACCUUGGUUAUCGCGUCUACACCUAGUUACGGGCCUUUAUGGGUCGAGGUCUCACAGAUUUUUUUUAACUCAGCUUUGUUUUUUUUAAGGUUUCUUAAUCACCAUAGAAAAAGGCUUUCGCUUUAGACAUACAUCCAUUGAGGCAAUCAAGCUUGAAUCCAGCUUUGCGAGCAUCAUCCAUGAGUUCUAACAUCAGUUUUAAUUUUCCUAGAGAAAUACUUCUCCAUGAAGUAUUUGCAAUCGCUAAAGCCUUAUCCAAGGUCCCUUAGCACAAUAAAGAUGAAAUCUACACUCUAACAGCACAAAUACUCCAAAGCUAGAACAUCUUGUAUAAGUUUUUUCUAAUGAUUUUCCAAACCUAAUAUCUUGCUGCUUGUCGCUCACCUCUUGCUGUGCACCAGCUUUUUGCUCACCCCUUGCCACACACAGGCUUAUUGUUUGCCUUUGGUCACAUACAAGCUUGCUACUUACCAAACUUGUUGCUUGUCGUUAGCCAAGCUUGUUGCUCGCCUCUUGCCAUGUACAAGCUUUCCACUCAAGCUCACCACACCCAAUUUGCCACUCAUCACACACAAGCUUAUCAUGACCAAGUAGCAUACCAUGUGUAGGUAGCUUGCAUGUGUACCAUGUGCAAGCAAUUGCUUUAAGUGUACAAGCUGAAUAAAUCUCAUUACAUGCAUAAGGAACAAUAUUGUGUGGUAUAGCUAUUCCACACAUAACAUUUGAAAUCUUUAAAGUAUUUAACGUGCAUUAUAUAUCUUUCUUUAUUAUAAAUCCAUUAAAACCUUUUUACAAGGAAUUCCAAGUGAGGGUGAAAGGGUUUUCAUGCAAGGGGAAACAAAGCAAGAAACAAAAAGAAAAAUAUCGCCACAUAAGGACAAGAAAGAAACAUUUGAGAUGUAUGCACAUAAGGCUGUACACAAGGCAUUAUCAUCCCACUGCGCAAUGCAUAUUUGCUACAUUGGUGUGCAAUCCCACCUUGAGUAAGAGGGUAUGUUAAGAAAUCCUUACGUGAGCAUAUAGAUUACAUAUUUUGAACAUCAAACUUGAUUUUAACCUUCAAAAGAAUCCAUUGACGCUUUUGAUUGUCUAUCACAUUUGAAGCAGAAAAUUUUCUAAAUCUAGAAAAGGUCAAAAUAUGUGAUUUUUAUAGAACAAUCUUUUGAAAAUAAAAAAUGAUGACAAUGAUUCCUUUUAUGUUUAGAUGAUCGAAAAUGAAUUUUUCAUAAUUUUUGGAGUAUGUUUGCUAUGGUAAAUGGGAACCGCAAAUUUAAUUUCAGUCUAACUUUUUCGAUUUUGUUCUUAAAACCAAAAUUUAGAUUUGGAUUCUUUUGGAUUUUGAUUUUUUUUAUAUUUUUAUUGAAUCCAAAUGGGAGUGUUUGCUUAUUUGCAUUAAAUAUCUUAAGUAAAUAGAGAGUAAAAAGGAAAAAAGUAAAAAUGAGGACAUUUACUUAUUUAAUGUAAAUAAGCCGAGUUGGUUUUAUAUAAUGUAAAUAAGCUGGCUAGUUUUAUAGGUAAUUUGUCUUAGAAACUGCAUUUUAUUUCAAAUGUAUCAAUACAUGCUCAUGAUGUUAUCGAUACAUGUUCAUAAUGUAUCGAUACAGUUUUUCCAAAACAAAAAAGUUUUGAUAGAUUGCCAAAUGUAUCGAUACAUUUCAUCGAUUUUUGAAAAAAUAAAAACGGUAAAAGAGUAUUUUCACAUCUCAUAGUAUAAAUAUGACCCCAACUCCAAGAGUUUUCAUUCUAAGCCGUCUCCCAUCAGUUUUUUAGCAACUUUAAGCUUUCUUAAUCCCACUUUCACCCUAAAUCAUCGUUUUGGAAGAUUGAAAGCUUAGUUUUGGGGUUUUCAAACAAAGGUGACAUCUUUCAACUUUUAAAUCUUGAUUUACGAAUUUUUUAACACUAAAAAUAUUAUUUUUAUGCCCAUAUUUUCUUUUGAACACUAAAGUUCAAAGAUUUUGUUAUUUUCCUUAGCAUUAAAGCUCACCUAAUGUAAGGAUGAAAUAUUUAUGGGUUUCUAAGCAUGGGUUUUAACUAGAAAAUUAGUUUAGCUAAAAGCAAGUAGUUUCGAAAGUACCUAGAAUAAUUAUCACGAGAUUUUUAUUUUAGGAAAUGAUUGUGAUAGUUGUUGUAUGAUAGGAAUACUUGAAAACUCCAAAGAUUUCAUCGAAAUGGAGUUGUGAUUGGAGCUCGGAAUCGAAUCUCCAACUAGGUGAGUGAACAAACCACUUUGAAAUUAUUUUGAUAUGUAAAGCUAGCAUGAUUUCUAUAAAAUGGAUUAUUUAUACAUGUUGAAUGAUAUCUUUAAAAUGGUUUAUCAAAGGAUUUUAAUUUCAAAAAUCAAAAAUGAUUUUCUAAGAAAAAUAAAUUCUUAGUGAUUAUGACAUGAUUGAUACAAUUGUUUUCAAAUUGUUUACAAAUCUACUAUGUAUGUAAAUGCUCUACUGUGUAUUAGUUUUCAACAAGAAGGGACAAGCACUUUAUGUUUGAAGUCCACUCGAUUGCUUUAAUCUUCGGACUAGUGUGGGUACAAGAUAUUGUAUGUUUAUUUGUAAAUGCUAUAAUGUGCAUGUUUGGUAUGAUGAAUGCCAUAAACUUAUGUAUAUGAUAUAAAUUCCAUAUACCAAAUAAGAUGAUUAAAUAUGCAUGAUGUAUACUAUAAGAUUUUGUAUAUAGUGUAAAUUCCAUAUACCAUAGAAGGUGAUUAAGUAUGCAUGAUAAAUGCCAUGAUUAUGUAUAUGAUGUAUAUUCCAUAUACUACAUGAGAUGAUUAAGAAAGCAUGAUGAAUGCCAUGAGAUUAUGUAUAUGAUGUAUUUCAAUAUACCUUAUGAGAUGAGUAAGCUUGUAUGUGAAGGACAUUCCACAUACCUAAUUUUACGAGUAUGAGAAUUCUAUGAGUGUGAUUGAUUCCACUCUCACGGGGUGCAAGUGACGACUUCACUCCUAUGGUGCAUGAUUAAUGCCCAAGGCCAAUAGGGAUGUACAUUGCCAGCCUGAGGUGAUAAGGGAUGUACCAUUACAAAGUAUGAGGUUAAUGUUAAUGGAAUGAUCAUAAUUACUAUGUUUAUGAUAAAUUCCAUGAGAUUUGUAUAUGAUGUAUUUUCAAUAUACCUUAUGAGAUAAGUAAGCUUGUAUGUGAAGGACAUUCCACAUACCUGAUUUUAAGAGUAUGAGAACUCUAUGAGUGUGAUUGAUUCCACUCUCAAAGGGUGCAAGUGACGACUUCACUCUUAUGAUGCAUGAUAAACACCCAAGGGUAAUGGCAAUGUACGUUGCCGACCCAAGGUGAUGGUGGAUGUACCAUUACAAAUUAUGAGUUUAAUGUUAAUGGAAUGAUCAUAAUUACUAUGUUUAUGGUAUGUUGCAUCUUAAUGUUGUUUAAGCAUUAUUCAUGAUUUGUACUCUAUGAUGGCAUGAGAAUGUGCUUAGUGAAAAAGACUGAGCCUUAGAGAAAGUCCCAAAAGGUAAGGGAAUUUAAUUAAUGGUAAAAAUGGAGGAUUUGCCUAAGAAUUUGGGUUCUGAGCUAAAAAUAUUGAUACAUAUAGGUUAUGUAUCCAUACAUUCUAAACAGAAUGCUUCAAGAAGCUUUCUGUGUGAAAUGUAUCAAUACAUUUUACUAAUGUAUCAAUAGAUGCUUAACAGUAUUGAUACAUUCAAGAAUGUAUAAAUAUAUUUGGUGCAUAAUAGGUUGUUUGAUUGAAUUUUAUGAGAAUUUCAAAAGUAAAAGAUUCGCAAAAGAAUAUGUUAACAUGUUUUCAAACAAAUGGUAUUCAAAUGUGUUCAAAUAACAUGUUUUAUGAAUUCCAUGAUUAAAUUGUUUAUGAAUGUCAUGAGAUUACAAGUGCAUGUUUACGAAAUACUUUUAUCCCCCAGCUUGUCCCCUUCUUGUAUCCAUUCAUAAAGUCUUUGUGACUCACACAUUAUUUUCCCUAGUUAUUUUGUUGCAUAUCAAUGAUAGCACCUGAUAGCAACUAGUGUUAUGGAUACCAAUGUUUGGUCUUCAUUCUUUGGUAGGUGUCUAGCAGCCACUUGAUGCCUAGAUGGUCAGUCACAUUCCGUUUAUUAGUCAGUCUUUUACUUUAUGUUAUGUUCACAGAUUAUGAACAUGUUUAUGUUAAUGUUGCCAAUGUUGGAUAUUUUAUAUUGAUAAUGUUAUGUAAUGAUGGCUUCAGAGCCUACAUGGACACCUGAGGCUGUUGUUGACAGCUAAUGUUAAUGUGCACUAUGACAGUGACACUUUUUCACACACACACACACACACACACGCACACACAUACCAAGUGCUUGAGCUAAUACAAUUAAGUUGAGAAGUUCUUUAAUUGUAUAAUGAGUAUUAUGAAUGCAAGCAUGAUGAUGUUGUAUUUAAAUGGAUGAUAUAAGAUGCUUCUCCAUGAAAUGAUGAAUGUUUAAUAAGGUUAUGGUAAGAGGCUUGCUUAGGCCUAACGGAUUAUGCUCGUCUAGGUCCAUGUGUCGGUCACGAUCCCUCUAGAAAAAUAAGAUGUGACAGUUGGUAUACUAUACAACACAAUACAUUACAACGCUGUCACGACCCGAUACUCCCUUCGAGCCCGUGACAACCGCCGCAAUGUCUCGAUAGACAUUCAUUACCCAGAAUGUCAACUGAAAUCUCGCAAGGCUCUUGCAUCAAUUUUACGUCUUCCCUGUGAGCAACAGUUACUAAAUAUCAUGUUUUAAAGGAAAAUAAACUAUUUUUAAAUCAAAACAAACAAAAAGUAAUUUUCACCACACAGGGGUAUUUUGGUCAUUUUUACUUGAAAAUUUUGAAACUUGGUGAAUAUAAAGCAUACGAUCGAAAAAUAUACAUUUCUUAUCUAAAAAUAAUUUUUGUAAUCUAAAUCAUCCAUUUAAAAUGAAAUUAUGGCUAAUCAAACUAAAUAAAAAUAUUAAAUAAAAUAUUCUAUUUUCUUAUAAAACAAUAUUUAUAGAAUCCUGCAUAAACAAUUUUUGUAGCAUAAGAGUAAAAUAAAUUCAUAUCUAUAAUAGCACACUAAACCAGGUAUACAAAAAAAUUCUAAAAUGACAUGUGGGCCUCAAAAUAACAAAAAUAAACAGGACUGUAGACCUAUGAUUUCUAAGGGUGCAAAUCCAAAAUAAACCCUCAACAAAAUUGACUGUCUACAGACUGCUCUAAACCUGAAAUGGGGGAAAAGAAGGGGGUGAGUUUUUAUAAACCCAGUGAGUAAGCAAAGUUCAUCUAUAACAUCUAAAACCGAGUAAAUGGAGACAGUUAAAUCAUCCCAUCAUAAUAUGAUUCAUAACAUUUAAAACUCAUUUCAAUUCAUAUAAAUCAAUUACAUUUCAUCAAAAUAAUCAACAAGGCUUAUGAUUCUCUUAAAAACUUGGCUUGUGCCAAAACUCGUACUAGGUGACACCUUGGCCCGGGCAUUCAACCGAGUCUGCCAAGGAUGUAAAAAUGACAUAUGCCCAUAAAACAUAUUUUUACUUUUAAAAUAUGGCCAUUCCUUGGCGUUGGUUGAGUUUCAUCCUCACGUGGUGGUUCGGCGUGAAGUGAACUCUAAACUUACCUUAGGAGAUACCUUCCGCGCCUCUCAUACUAAGGUAAAAUAUAACGGGGUUUAUCGUACCCCUCUAAUAGGCUAGUCCAUGGAAACCCGCCCACUGUAGUAAGCUAAUCAAAUAACCCACCAAAUCAAUAAAAAUUUCGACAGCAUGACAUGGCUAAUAUGAUAUUACCCAGCCUGUCAAGGUAAAACAAAACAAUCCAUAUAAUCCACAAACCACAAGUCUAGCCAUUCAUGCCAUCACAUUGUCAUAAGCCAUCAAUUCAAACCAUAUAUAUAUAUAGAUAACACAAGUAUAUAGUCUCCACUUACUCAAUUUCCAAAAUCAUUAUUGAAUUGCAAAAAAUUUAUAAAUCUCACUCAUUUAACCCACACUUAACUUAUAAAACAUAAAAAUCUACGGUUUAAGUUUAUUAUUCUUUAAAAUCAUAACAACGAAUAUAAACUACUUUAGAUAGUUAAGGUGAACAUUUAAUUACUCACAAUAGCGGGAGUUUGGAGUACUCCUAUUCUUGGUCCUCGGGUACGAUAUCUUUACCCUUAUCAGAGGGCUCACCACCUAUACAUAAUACACGACACGUAAUUCAAUAUAUUUGUGCCAAACUGUUAUAAAACUAUUUCAGGCUCUAUAUGAAAGCAUGAAAUUGAAUAAGAAUUGUUCGAAUAAUCACUUAAAGACGGUGUUCUCCGUGGGUUCAAUUAUGAUCGGACUGAAUUUGUAUUCGACCUAACUCAAACUAUACACUAAUGAAUUAACCAAAACAUCCGAUUUAACUUCAAAUAUAUUCAUUACACUUCCAAUAUUCCAAAUACACCAAAGUACCUCAAUGAGCUUGAUUGUGACUUAAUUCAUCGUAACCAAAAUUCAUUCCGAUUUUGAACUAACGUGCUAAUCAGUGUUAACACAGUUCAAUAAAUCCAUCUACAUCAUUAGGAAUCAAAUCCAAGUCCAUUUACUAAAGGAACUAUACUUUUCGAUAGCCGUUUUCGAUAUCUGAUACCAAAAAUCAUCAAUUACUAGCUAAAUAACAUGAAAUACAACAAAAUCCAUCAUCAACAUGUCAUUUAUAAAAUUCGACCAAAGAGGGUUAUUGAAGGGCAUCUGAUUUUCUUGCUUGUUUUUCAUGCCAAACAUCAUCAAACAACUAAAAACACUAAGAUAUCAUGAAAUCUAGCAAAAUCCAUCAUCAAAACCUCUCUCCCUAUGUUCGGCCAGCAAGUAUUCCCUCAUGGAAACUUGUGUUUCAUCCAUAGAAAAUGAAAAAGAAAGCAUGGGAAAGGUAGAUCUUAAGCUAAAAUUGAAAAAUCUUACCUUUGAUUGCUUUGUUCUUUGAAAUUCAACAAAUUUCUCUUGAAUUUUCCUCUCUAGGGUUUGUUUCUAUUCUUUUCUAUUUGUUCUUUGCUUUGGCCGACCAUGAAGAGUGAAAUGGGAGAGUUUAUAAAGAAAAUUAUAAAAAUAUUAAAAAUUGACAUGUGUCACCAUGUGAUUGGUCCAUGGUUAAAACUUAACAAUUAAGCAUUUUCUCACCACCACAUGUAAUCUCUUAAUUAUCCAAAGUAUAAAAUAAUAAUAGGUGAAAUUCAUGGGCUUGACAAGUGUUAUGGUGGUGUAAAAUUCCAAAAAUUCCAAUUACAUCCUCGUGGACACGUAAAAUGAUUGUUUUGCCCUUAUGUUCAAAAAAAUGUCAGAAUUAAAAUUUUUCAUUUCUCAAAUUCAAAUCAUGCUCCAAUUAGUCAAACUUGGUCAAAAAUUUCAUCCAACAUUCCCAUUUUGCCUUUACGUUAUGAAAAUUCCUAAUUUGACUCCAAAUUAAUCCUCAAACUCCGAAUCACCAUAUUAAAACAUUCUAAGGUUCAAUAACUCUCAAAUACAUCCUAAAAUCUCUAUUCAAACUAGUUUGAGGUUUUAAUCGACUUAAUUGUACCACUAGGUACGAUAUCGACUUUUAACUAUUCUCCGAGGCAUCCCAAUAUGUAGAUAAGCUAUCAAGUACAUUAAUGACAUGGGAAGUGUAUGAUAGAGCUGGGCUUGACAAACGCAAUAUAUAUAUAUAUUGCAAAUCACAUUAUUUUUCACUUCUACGUUACUCACAAGGUAGAGAAACAUCUCAAGUCGAGAAUCCUUAUGCAGGGGUAAAAUGUGAAUAUUUGAUUUUGAUCACUACUAAUUUAUCAUUUUUCUAAGUGUUGUUGCAACCACCCCUCCCUAGUCGCUACCAGCAUCCGAGACCUCCGGGAAAGACCCACCAAGUCCCGAACAAGCCUUACUCGAAAUGCCCGUUAGUUUACUACGUACAAUCACCAUUCCAUAUUGAUACUUAAAACAAUAUACUUUCAUAUCAUGACUUGAACCAUAAACAUAAUAAUUGAUUCAAGCUUUAAACCAUUUAAUCACAAGUUUAUACAUUGAAUCCACAAUCUCCAAUUAUUUACUUAUACCAAAAUUGUCACGACUCGAAACUCUCAUCGAGCCCGUGACAACCUCCGCGAAGCCUCGACAGACAUUCUUCACCCCGAAUACCGAUCGAAACCUCACAAGGCUCUCGUAUCAGCUUUCGCACUUCCUCGGUGAGCAAUAGUUAUCAAAUAUCACAUUUCAAGAAAUCAUAAGUCGUUUCCAAAUCAAAAUAAUAAAAUAUUAUUUUUUGGCUCAUAGAGUCAUUUUCGUCAUUUUUCUUCGAAAAUACUGAAACUCGCCAAAAACAAGAUGUGUGGGCGAAAAACACAUGUUUCAUAAUUAAAGUAAAUUUAGAUGUCUAAAAUAAUUAUUUGAAACGAAAUUAUAAUAGUUUGAAUAAAAUAAUAAUAUUCGAUAAAAUAUUCUAUUUUAAAAAAAAUAAUAUUUAUAGAAAAAUUCGUAAAUAAUUUUUGUAUUGUGAAAGCUAAAUAUAUUCAUACAUACUUUAAAGCAAAUAACUUAAGUAUAAAAUUUCUUUUACAGUGACACGUGGGCCCACAUCUAACCAAAAUGCAUCGAAAACUGAAAACCUACAGCUUUUGCCAAUUCAAGUCCAAAUGAAGGUCCUUGUCAAAGUCAGCUAACUAUGAAAUUUCCCGAGCCUGAAAUGUGAGGAAAUGAGGGUGGUGAGAUUAUAAAAUCCCAGUGAGUAAACAGACACCAUCUAAACUAUCUAAAGGCCAGUACAUGGAGACGAAUUAAAAUAUUCUUUUCCAAUAUAUGUUUCAUAACAUGAAUAUUCAGUUUACUCAAUUAAUCAACAUGGCUUAUAUAUCUCACAAAACUUGGCUCUUGCCAAAAUCACUUCCGGGGAUACUUUUACCAAUGUAAUUUGCUCACCACCUAUCCACAAUGUACAAUACAUAAUUCACCACAUUAAUGCUUGACCAUUAUAAAUCAAUUCAGGCUUGGUGUAUAUGCAAGAUAUGAUAUGCAACUUAUCCGACUAUCGCUUAAAUGCAGUGCUGACCUAAUUCGACCUAUUACCCGAUUAAAUGACAAUUGUGUCCGAUUUGGCUCCAAAUUGCUCCAUUGCAUUUCUAAUAUUUCAAUUCACUAAAUACAAUUCUAAUAAUCUAAAAUUCAGUCUAACAACCCUCACAAUUCUUCUUGAAAAUUUCGGCCAUUGUGGUGCACCAUCACUAAAAAUUUUCCCAUUCCAUUUUCUCACCAUAAAUCAUCAUUUCAUCAAUUUUUCAACCAAUUCACUUGAUCACAAAAUCAAUUCAUUACUUCUACACUUGACAUAGGAUUCGGCCAUUGAAGGUUCAUGGGGAAAAUGGAUUCUUUUCUUAUUGUUUUGUUUCUAAACACGCUUAACUAACUAAAAACACUAACAUAUCUUAAAAUUAAUUCAAUCCAACAUCUUUCUCUCUCCUUAUCCAUUUUGAACAGCCAUGAAUUCAUCAUGAAAACAUGUAAUUUAAGCAUGGAAAAUAAGGAGAAAUGCUUAAGGAAAAUAGAUUUCAAGCUUAAGUUGAAAAAUCCUACCUUUUUCACUUGUUUUCCUUGAUUUUUCACACUUUUUCUCUUGAAAUUCUUCACCUAGGGUUUGUUCUUCCUUCCUUUCCAUCUCUUCCUUGCUUGGCCAAAUAUUUAGAGAGAAAAUGGGCUGAUUUAUGCUGAUUUUUAAGUUAAAUAAUAAGAUAUCCUAAGCUUGACACAUGGCAUGUUUCCAUUGGUCCAUUUUUAAAACUUUAAAAAUUUUAAACCUUGUAUCUCCACCACAUGAUUAGUCAAAGGUCAAAAUGAGGAUAAGGGAAGACCAUGUGCUGGAAAAAUGUCCUGGUAGUGGAAAAUUACAAUUUUGCCCCUGGGUGACAAAAUUACCAUUUUACCCUUAUACUCCAAAUUAUACCGAAAUUAAAUUUUUUUCACUUAUAAACCUCAAAUCAUACUCCAAUACUCAAAUCAUACUUCAAUAAGUCAAAUGGGGCCAAAAAAAUCUUUUUUAAAACUCCCAUUUUGUCCCCAGGUGGCAAAUGACCAUUUUACCCUUAAAUAGUGAAAAUUUCAGUUUGACUCCAAAUUGAUCCUCGAACUCCAAAUUACCAUUUUGAGUCAUUCUUGGAUCGUGAAACUCUCAAUUUCACCUUAAAAUUCCUAUUUGAACUAGUUCGAGGCUUAAUCGACUUAAUGAUACCUUUAGGGGCAAUAUCGUCUUUUAACGAUUUUUUUCAAACUUCCUAAAUAUACAACCAUUCUAUUGAGCAUGUAAAUGACAUCAUAAUUAUUUUAUAGAACAGAGUUUGACAACACUACCCCCCUUAGAAUAAAAUUUUGUCCUCAAAAUUUCUCUUAUCAAAUUCCAAGGAAAUGUGGGGUAUUAUCUUUUUAUUCGAUACUCAACUUCUCCUGAUAUCUCCUUUAUGGGGAAUCUUAAUUCACUAAAAAAUCAUUCUUCAUUUUAGUUUAUCACAAUAUCAACCCCACAUAUGUGUAUAUGCCUUAUAAUCCCAUUUAUGUUUCCAUGAUCUAUCUUGAUUUAAUCAUCGAAUACGAUGCAGUAUCACAAUUCCUCAGAGUCAUCCCUUUGUCCUCAAUCAUCUUUCAUGCCUCUAUAUUGCUUUGUAUCUUGUAUUUCGACAUUAAUAUGUUGCUUAAGAUUUAAAUUCAUUUGAACUUGAUAUACCUCAGUAUUUUUAAGUUCUAAUUUUCACAAUAUAAUAAGAAAUUCUUACAACAAUAUUCUAUAUGAACUCAUUUACUAUAUUAUUCUUGAAACCUUUAUUUACAUUCUCCUCGUUUGAUAUUAACAUCCCUUGUCACUAUCUCACAUUUUAUCUAACUUUUCACUCACUUUCUCUAGGUUGAACUCGUGCUUCAUCUUCCGUUACAGCAAAAACUCUUGUCGAAGAACGAGUCUGUGGUCUAGAAGGUGGAUACACUAGAGUGUUACUUUCCACUCCGGAUUGUAUGGUCAUACCUGGCCUCUACUGUGAUUCAACCAAAUCUCUCCCUUGUAUAUUUGUACGAACUAGUGAGAAUGGAGCAGUUACAGUAGCUUGUCUUAAUUAGGGACAAUUACUCCUAAUGUGAUCGGGCUGAUCACAAUGAAAAUAUCGUACCAGCCCCUUGCACAGCCAUAAAUGAUAAUUCCCACACGUUUUCCAUCUAUCAAAACUUUGGGAUCUUUUCCCAGAAACAGUCAUCUCGGACCUACCGAAUCUUGGAGGCCUCUGCUGUGUCUAUGAAAAUGAAGGUUGGGAAGAUGUUACUAGAACAGAGGUAUUACUUCCUGAUACAUGUGAAUCCUUACCCUUUUUUGGUGGCUGGCUGAAGGAUACACUCGGAUUCCUCCUCUUUGCAAACUCAACUCGCAUUCUCCUAUUUUCAUUUGCGAGCUUCUCAGCCCUUAAAGCCAUUUGCACUACUUUCUUAUGUGACUCCUUGCCAGUCACUGUCAUUCACUCUCUAAUCUCAUUACGGAGCCCUUCCUCAAAAUAAUUGGCCUGAUCCUGCUCAGAUUUUACCAGAUCUGGCACAUAUAACAUUAGCUCGUUAAAACGAGCUUUAUACUCUUUUACCGUUAAAUUCCCCUAUUUCAAACUCAAAAAUUCUCUCUUCUUUUCUUUCUGAUGGAAAUAAGUGAAAUACUGACCAUCAAAUUCUCUUAGAAAGUUUGACCAUGUCUGAGGAGUAGUGGAACAGGAUUUUACUAAAUUCCACCAGGUACGAGCCCUCUUCUCUAGUAAUCUCGUAGCCACCAUUAGCUUCAUAUCGUUGUCUAAUCUCAUGUCAAAAAGAGUCUCUGAAACCUAGUUAAUCCAGUCUUUUACCACAGUGGCAUCCAGCUCACCCAUGAAAGACAUGCAACCAAGUUGCCUAGCGUCCUUCAGCUUCUUAGAAAUAGAUACAUCCUGUAUUGGCGGAACUGAUGGAGUAGUUGGAGGCACUAUAGGUGGAGCCUGACCAGUCUGAGCUUGACCAGCCAUUGCGGUAAAGAAGGUUGCUAAUGCUUGUGCCAUCUCAAGAGGCAUGGCAGGACUGCCAGUAGGUGGCGGAGGAGGUGGAUGUGGAGGACUCUCUGCCUGCUCAGCAACAGGUGCUACUCGAUAUGUGGAUGCAGCUGAUCCCUCCUCUACUGCCUCUUGCUAACGAGGUUGGGGACGACCCCUUCCUCUCCCUACUGAUCUAGUAACAGAUGGGCGUUCGCAUCUAAGAGGCAUAGUGAUCUAUACAAAGGAACAAGGCAAAUUUAAUCAACCUUAGACUCUAUAUGCAGAUGCGUGCAUUCUAUUCAACCUAACCUAUCUUAACUUAACUUAACUUAACUAGGGGCCAUGUCGUGUUAGUGUGGAUUUCUUAAAACAACUUUAAAAUCAAAAACUUUAAAAUCCAAAGCUUUCAAACUAAAAUCUCUGAUCUUUAAACCAUGCUCUGAUACCAAUUUAAUUGUCACGAUCUAGAACUCUCAUCGAGCCAAUGACAACUGCCGCGAAGCCUCGACAAACAUUCUCCACCCCGAAUACUGAUCGAAACCUCGCAAGGCUCUCGUAUCAGCUUUCGCACUUCCCUAGUGAGCAAUAGUUAUCAAAUAUCACAUUUCAAGAAAUCAUAAGUCGUUUCCAAAUCAAAAUAAUAUAAUAUUAUUUUUUGACUCAAAGGGGCAUUUUCGUCAUUUUUCUUCGAAAAUACCAAAACUCGCCAAAAACAUGAUGUGUGGGCGAAAAACACAUGUUUCAUAAUUAAAGUAAAUUUAGAUGUCUAAAAUAAUUAUUUGAAACGAAAUUAUAAUAGUUUGAAUAAAAUAAUAAUAUUCAGUAAAAUAUUCUAUUUAAAAAAAAUAAUAUUUAUAGAAAAAUCUGUAAAUAAUUUCUGCAGUGUAAAAGCUAAAUAUAUUCAUACAUACUUUAAAGCUAAAUAUCUUAAAAUCAAUUCAAUCCAACAUAUUUCUCUCUCCUUACCCAUUUUGACCAACCAUGAAUUCAUCAUGAAAACAUGUAAUUUAAGCAUGAAAAAUAAGGAGAAAUGCUUAAGGAAAAUAGAUUUCAAGCUUAAGUUGAAAAAUCCUACCUUUUUCACUUGUUUUCCUUGAUUUUUCACACCUUUUCUCUUGAAAUUCUUCACCUAGGGUUUGUUCUUCCUUUCUUUCCUUCUCUUCUUUGCUUGGCCGAAUAUUUGGAGAGAUAAUGGGCUGAUUUAUGCUGAUUUUUAAGUUAAAUAAUAAGAUAUCCUAAGCUUGACACAUGGCAUGUUUCCAUUGGUCCAUUUUUAAAACUUUAAAAAUUUUAAACCUUUUAUCUCCACCACAUGAUUAGUCAAAGGUCAAAAUGAGGAUAAGGGAAGACCAUGUGCUGGACAAAUGUCCUAGUGGUGGAAAAUUACAACUUUGCCCUUAGGGUGGCAAAAUUACCAUUUUACCCUUAUACUCCAAAUUAUACCGAAAUUAAAUUUUUUUCACUUCUAAACCUCAAAUCAUACUCCAAUACUCAAAUCAUGCUCCAAUAAGUCAAAUGGGGCCAAAAAAAUCUUUUCUAAAAUUCUCAUUUUGUCUCUAGGUGGCAAAUGACCAUUUUGCCCCUAGAUAGUGAAAAUUCCAAUUUGACUCCAAAUUGAUCCUCGAAUUUUGAAUUACCAUUUUGAGUCAUCCCUGGAUUGUGAAACUCUCAAUUUCACCUUAAAAUUCCUAUUUGAACAAGUUCGAGGCUUAAUCGACUUAAUGAUACCAUUAGGGGCAAUAUCGUCUUUUAAUGAUUUUUUUCAAACUUCCUAAAUAUACAACCAUUCUAUUGAGCAUGUAAAUAACGUCGUAAUUAUUGUAUAGAAUAGGGUAUGACAAAAAUCAAUAUCUGUUUACCACUUAAUGAACAAAGUGCUAUGACUCUACCUCUAACAGCGAAGCGACUUGGAAUAGAAUGUUAAGAGAUGCCUUUACCUAUAUGCAGUGGACCGAACGCGUCGAUGAUUACACACUAGGUUGAUCUCUAUCUGCAAAAGGGAAAAUAAAGGGGUGUGAGUCUCACAAACUCAGUGAUCAUCGGCUCCGUGAGUAAGGUGUAGAUGGGAAACAAGCAAUAAGGUAGAGAUUUUGAAUAUUAAAAAUUGCAAGAGUAGAUAAAAAAUAUUUUAAUUCAAACGGAGAUUUGUGCCUUAUAUAUAAAGAAAAUAACAUCCAGAAUUUCUUGUACGUUGUAAUUAGCCAAGAUGUAUAUCAAAUCAAGGUAAGUAAAAUUUUCAGCAUCGAAAUAGGUUAAUAAACAUUUUCAAAUCAAAUCAUUUCAAAUAUCAUUUUAAAUCUAGUGUACAUAAAAGAUAUCUGCCGUCAAAAUUAUUCACAUAUUAUUCCCAUCAAAUCAAUAAAAUUGAGCAAGCUCCCGCGAAAUCAAAUAUUAUUUAAAAUUAUUCACAAAUCAUAACUCGCCUCAUACGCAAGGAUUUAAAAUUCAUUUCACAAUAGAAAUAACAGAGCUGCGAAAAACUGUCUAGUUUUGUUUUCACCAUGCAAAGAACUACGAGUUUGAAAACCCAAAGAGAUUUUAGCCUCAAGUAAAAAAUCAAAUAAAGUCUAUGGUCCCACUACCACGUAAUAACAUCCAAAAGCCUCGCUCCACCAGAUCCCACAUGCCAUGGCAGUCUCAACGAUGUUGGCUGACAUCGGAGAAUCAAGUGGUCGCAAUCAUGUAAUCAUCUGGUGGCCUAGCCACGCAUACAUAUAUCACAGGCCGUGGCCCCCGUCACACCUAACCACCAGUCAGUGACCCAAGGGUUCUCUAGCUAGAGCUCACUUGUGCACGACGGUCACACUUAACCGAAGUGACAAUCAGCUUGUUCUCGAAUCUCUCGAUUUGUAAAACCAUUUUUGUAAUUUGUUAUAAGUUUAAAAGCUCGUCUCAAAAUUUUUUCCAAAGCAUUCAACAUAAGGUAUGAUAAAAUCUAUUAUCAUUUUCAUAAAAUAAAGUUGGUGCAUGAAUUUCGAAACAAUAACUCGCAUGGUGAAUAAGCAUUAUAAUCAUGAAUGCACACUACACAAAUAUAUAAGGCACAUUUUUUAUAUAAAUCAUCUUGAAAAGCUUGUUUCUCGGUUUACAACACUUUACGUAUAAUUUAUACAUAUAUAUUCAAAAAACGUUCGAAAAAUCAUAGCAAUUACAAAUUUCCUAGAAUUCUACCAACUCAUGCUUUCCACAAUUUUUGCAUGUAAAAUAAACUAUACGUGUAUAUAUAUAUAGACAUAAAUACGAGAAUUUUAAAAUAGACACCCCCUACUCACCUCACAAUAGCGGGAUACUACGUCGCUAUUUCUACUUGUCGAUCGCUCGUUACUUCCUCCGGCACGCCACUACAGUGCACUAUCUUUACUUUGGUACUUCCUAGCAACAAUUCAAACUCAAUAUAUUUAGUGCAUCAAUUCCACUUCUAUUUCUCAUUCUAUCAUUAUCCAUAUUCAACUAACUCACAUCUUAAUACAUUUUUACUAAAAUUACUUAUAUCCUUUUCUCACGUAAUUCUUUAGAUUAUAAACACCGGUAACUUAUUUAUGAUAUUAAGUGUCUACUUCAACCUUUCUAAGCAACUUCCAUCAAAUCCAUCUUAUAUUUUCAUAAUAUUAAUCACAUUUACGGCAACCACAAUCAUUUCAAAUCUACUCAAUUAUUUUCCAAUUUCCAUCCACAUUAUUCCUCCUUAUUUCUUCCAAAUAAUAUACCAUGCAACUUAACACUUCCAACUAACUUAUGCAAAUAGAUUCCUCCGACAACAAUAAUUCCUCACAAUGAACCAUUUCAAAAUUUCUUAACAAUAAUUCAUUUCAUAUUUUCCUAUUUGCUUUAAUCCUAUGAGAUAUCAUAAAAGAGUUUUUAAAUGUUGUAUUAAGGCAACUUAAAUGUACUUCAUAUCACCAAUAACCAAAGUUUAGUUAAACAAGAUGGGCUAGCCCCCAAACAGCCCAAUUUCAUAACAAACCCAUGGAAAAGAGCAAAGCAAUUUUACCAAAUUGGGCUAAGUUAGCCCAAGUCUCCACCAUUCUUCUCUCUUCUCUUGUUACUCGAUCAGUAGCUCCCAACCUUCUUUAUUGACAGCUUAUAUGUCCUCCUUCACUCUCUUUUUUGCCGUAACUUCCUCUCUUUGUUUCAAUCGAAUUUCUUUCUCAUACCGGCAACAAGAAUCUUUCUUUUUCCCUCUCAAAAUUGGCAGCAAGUUCCCUCAUUUCACCCUUUCAAAACUGGCAGCAAGUCCUCUCAUUUCUCUCUCUCAAAAUCGGUAGCAAGUCAACCCUCUUUUUCCUUCUUAAACCGACAGCAACUCAGCUCUUUUCUCUCACUCUCCAGCUGCCAUUUUUUCUACUCUCCCAUCAACACUCUUUCGCCCUUUUCUUUGCCUCACAAACAACACUAUCUAACUGCCAUUUUCUACUCUCUCACCAGCACUCUUUCACCCUUUCUCUUUGCUCCAUAAAUGGCUGUCGACAAAGCCAAGGGAGAAUAAUAUUUUUUUUUCUUUCUCACCAGCUCUCUCAUUCUCUUUGUCUUUAUCCAUGCCCGGCUGAUGCAAGAAAAAUAAAGCCAAAUGAAUUUUUUUUUCAUUAUAUGGUGUCACGACCCGAAACUCCCAUCGAGCUCGUGACAACCGCAGCGACGUCUCGAUCGACAUUCAUUACCCGGAAUGUCAAUCGAAACCCCGCAAGGCUUUAAUAUCAGCUUCUCAUUUCCCUUGUGGGUAACUAUUUCCAAAUACCACAUUCUCAAAGAUUUUAAACUGUUUCCAACUUAAAUAAAUAAAAUAAUAAUUUUCAUCUCACAGGGGUAUUUUGGUCAUUUAUCCCAAAAAUCUCAAAAUCAUCUAAAAAUAUAGUAUGUAAGUGGAAAACACAUAUUUCAUAAUCAAAAAUAAUUUUGGAUGUCUAAAACAUUCGUUUAAAAUGGUAUUAUGACUGUUAGAAUAAAAUAAAAGUAUUAAAUAAAAUAUUCAAUUUUCACACAAAACAAUAAUUUUAAUAACACUGCAUNNNNNNNNNNNNNNNNNNNNNNNNNNNNNNNNNNNNNNNNNNNNNNNNNNNNNNNNNNNNNNNNNNNNNNNNNNNNNNNNNNNNNNNNNNNNNNNNNNNNNNNNNNNNNNNNNNNNNNNNNNNNNNNNNNNNNNNNNNNNNNNNNNNNNNNNNNNNNNNNNNNNNNNNNNNNNNNNNNNNNNNNNNNNNNNNNNNNNNNNNNNNNNNNNNNNNNNNNNNNNNNNNNNNNNNNNNNNNNNNNNNNNNNNNNNNNNNNNNNNNNNNNNNNNNNNNNNNNNNNNNNNNNNNNNNNNNNNNNNNNNNNNNNNNNNNNNNNNNNNNNNNNNNNNNNNNNNNNNNNNNNNNNNNNNNNNNNNNNNNNNNNNNNNNNNNNNNNNNNNNNNNNNNNNNNNNNNNNNNNNNNNNNNNNNNNNNNNNNNNNNNNNNNNNNNNNNNNNNNNNNNNNNNNNNNNNNNNNNNNNNNNNNNNNNNNNNNNNNNNNNNNNNNNNNNNNNNNNNNNNNNNNNNNNNNNNNNNNNNNNNNNNNNNNNNNNNNNNNNNNNNNNNNNNNNNNNNNNNNNNNNNNNNNNNNNNNNNNNNNNNNNNNNNNNNNNNNNNNNNNNNNNNNNNNNNNNNNNNNNNNNNNNNNNNNNNNNNNNNNNNNNNNNNNNNNNNNNNNNNNNNNNNNNNNNNNNNNNNNNNNNNNNNNNNNNNNNNNNNNNNNNNNNNNNNNNNNNNNNNNNNNNNNNNNNNNNNNNNNNNNNNNNNNNNNNNNNNNNNNNNNNNNNNNNNNNNNNNNNNNNNNNNNNNNNNNNNNNNNNNNNNNNNNNNNNNNNNNNNNNNNNNNNNNNNNNNNNNNNNNNNNNNNNNNNNNNNNNNNNNNNNNNNNNNNNNNNNNNNNNNNNNNNNNNNNNNNNNNNNNNNNNNNNNNNNNNNNNNNNNNNNNNNNNNNNNNNNNNNNNNNNNNNNNNNNNNNNNNNNNNNNNNNNNNNNNNNNNNNNNNNNNNNNNNNNNNNNNNNNNNNNNNNNNNNNNNNNNNNNNNNNNNNNNNNNNNNNNNNNNNNNNNNNNNNNNNNNNNNNNNNNNNNNNNNNNNNNNNNNNNNNNNNNNNNNNNNNNNNNNNNNNNNNNNNNNNNNNNNNNNNNNNNNNNNNNNNNNNNNNNNNNNNNNNNNNNNNNNNNNNNNNNNNNNNNNNNNNNNNNNNNNNNNNNNNNNNNNNNNNNNNNNNNNNNNNNNNNNNNNNNNNNNNNNNNNNNNNNNNNNNNNNNNNNNNNNNNNNNNNNNNNNNNNNNNNNNNNNNNNNNNNNNNNNNNNNNNNNNNNNNNNNNNNNNNNNNNNNNNNNNNNNNNNNNNNNNNNNNNNNNNNNNNNNNNNNNNNNNNNNNNNNNNNNNNNNNNNNNNNNNNNNNNNNNNNNNNNNNNNNNNNNNNNNNNNNNNNNNNNNNNNNNNNNNNNNNNNNNNNNNNNNNNNNNNNNNNNNNNNNNNNNNNNNNNNNNNNNNNNNNNNNNNNNNNNNNNNNNNNNNNNNNNNNNNNNNNNNNNNNNNNNNNNNNNNNNNNNNNNNNNNNNNNNNNNNNNNNNNNNNNNNNNNNNNNNNNNNNAUUCUUGUUUUUUUUUUCCCCUUUUCUCCCCUGGUUUGGACAGCUGAAGAAGAUGAGAAUUCCGGAAUUUUUACCUUUUUAAAGGCUAAAAUAAUAUAAUAUUAUUUUAUUCAUUUUUUUAAUGUUUUAUUAAUUCCUUAAAUUCUAGCCAUCCAUUUGUUUCCAAAUUUUCACCAUACACUUGUCCCACAUAUCCAUAGCUUAGAUAAAAUUCUCAGACUUAUCCAAAGUCUUGGUGGAGUAAUUUUUUGAAAUUUACACUUUUACCCUCGUAAAAGUCAAAAAUUACAUUUUUGCCCCAAAAACUGAAAAAUUGCCCAUAGACAUAUUUUUCAUCCCUUAUACUCAUACUAUUCUCCAAUUUGUCAAAUUUGAUCUAAAUUCUCUCAAAAUCUCAAAUUUUACCCGCGGGUGGUAAAAUUACGAUUUUGCCCCUACACUCUUGAAAUCACUGGAAUUAAACUUUUUCACUGCCAAACCCUCAAAUUAUACUCCAAUAAGUCAAAUGGGGCCAAAAAAGAAAAAAAUUCUUUUCUAAAAAUUCCCAUUGCGUCCCUAGGUGGCAAAUGACCAUUUUGCCCCUACAUAGUAAAAAUUCCAGUUUGACUCCAAAUUCAUCCUCGAACUCCAAAUCACCAUAUUAAACCAUUCUGGGACUUUACUAUUCUUAAUUUCAUUUUAAAUUCUCUAUUUGAUCUAGUUCGAGACUUAAAUUAACUUAAUUGUACCAUUUGGUACAUUGUCGUCUUUUAACGAUUUUUCUUUCGCGACUUUUCAAGUAUGCAAGCAUAUUGUCAAUCAUAUGAAUGACAUGGAAAGUAUUUUAUAAGGUCAGGCUUGACAUAUGGGCUCAUUGUUGGGGGGAAGAAAGCUGACUUGUCUUGUCCCAUCACUCUUUCUUUUAUUUAUUUCAUUUCUUCCUUCAUUAUUUGCAUUAGUCGGCCCCCUACCAUUCUUUCUUCUCUUUCUUUUCUUUGUUCCAUGUGGUCGGCCCCUCCUUCAAAACAAGCUUUAACAUGGCUUUUGCUUCCCAUUUUAUUACACAUGGGCUGCUGAUCAAGUCAGCCCCCUCUUUUUUUUAUUUAUUUUUCAUGCUCCAUAUAUCAUUUAUAUUUUUAUUUAAUUAUUCUUUGGUCCAUUCGACACAUUUUAAAUUUCAAUUUCCUUUUAUCUUUCUUCCUCUACCCAUGUACCAUCAAAAUAUCGAAGUUGUACCUCAACACGGUAUUACCAUAAUAUUUAAAUAUUUACUUACCCGCACUAGUUCGAUUUAAUAAAAACACGCGUGUCUCACUUACAUUAUUUAUCUCCAAAAUUCGUUUGUGCUUCUUCUCCCCCACUUGGAUUGACCAUAAAAUCCCUCUUCACGACUAAUUCCAACGUCCAAUUAAAUAUUAAUUUUUUAAUAUUAUUUUAUUUCAAAAUUUUUCAUUUGUCUCCUUUGGUCUCGGAACAUCUUAUUAUGUCCCAAUUCACUUCCAAAUCAUCUUUUAACUUGAUAAUUCAUCUCCAACAAGGGUAUGAUUAUUUAAUUAUUAUUUUUGUACGUGCAAAAUAUUUUACUCUUAGGCAUUCCUUUCACCUUUUAUCGCUCUUUAGCACAUAAUUUCAUACCAAUUAGCCCUUCAUCUUACCGAGACGGUUACAUUGACUACUAUACGAGGGUACGGGGUGUUACAAUUUUCCUCACUUAAAUAGAAUUCAUCCCCGAAUUCAGGUCAACGUUGGUUCAUUAAUCCCACUAUAGGAUCUUAUUUCAUUCCUUCCUUUAUAAGAAAUUUUGAUUUUUAUCCAUCUCGUUUACCUUCAGUUUGAUCAUAAUACUUCAUUUAUGUUUAUUAUCAUCUUUUAGAAUCAAAUUGGAAAUAUCGUCUGCAAUCAUUAUCACUUAUCAUUUCGAUGCCGAGCGUGCCUUUAUCUCCAUCACUAACUUUAAACCAUAACUCUAUCUCAAUCAUUCCAAUUUUGAUCACAUAUUACAUUUAUGCAUACCUAAUCACCCUCUUAUUACUUCGUUCCUUGUCAAGCGUCUCGGCUUUCAUUCAUUCAUUUCAUCUCUGUACCAUAUUAGGUAGCUUACAACAUUAUAAACAUGCCAUAUUCAUUCUAGCACAUAUUCUCAACGUUGGGGGAAAAUUAAUGCCUUCAAUUAUCCCCACAUACUUCAUGUUUAUCUGGCACUUAUGUAAUUCCAGUCUUCUCCCUCUUUUCGUUAAUUACAUGUUCGAAGAUUCACACUUCUACAUCAUUCUUAAUUUAAUACAGUUCAAAUUAUGUGGAAAGGCAGUUCACUCAUUAAUCUUUAUCCUUAAUUACAAUUCUUUCUUUUGCCAUUAAAUCCCUUUCAGUAGUUCUAGUCCUUCAUGCUUUAAAAUGUAUUAUCCUUAUUAUGCUUUAAAACUUUUUGACCAUGCUUGACAAAAUUAGAUUUUAUCUUUCUUACUCAUUCUCACCAAGUAUUCACAUGAUACUACUAUCACCAUUUAUUCUUCAUUCAUUGCAUUAUUGCCGUAUAGAAAAUUCAGCAUAAUUAUAAAAUGACUCUUCAUUUAUUCUUGCAUCUAGAUCAUAUGAUUCCAUCUUGAGUACUAUUCGAAAAUUCUCUUCAUAACCACAUAGUUCAAUUUUCUAAUGAUAUCUCUUAUCAUUGUACCAUUUAUGCAAUUCUUCAGACAUAUUGUGUUCAAAACUCAAAUUACUAAAAAUAAUUCUUCACUUCCUCCACUUACAUACGCAACUCCACAUACAUAUAUAUAUAUAUAUAUAUAUAUAUUUAUUUAUUUAAACAUCAAUGUUCAUCACCGUGUGUAAGGACUCCUGUCAACUAUAUUCGAAUUGAAUUCCCUUUUUACUUUUCUCAUUUCCGACAUUUCUAAUUUAUCCUUCUAUUUCACUUCCAUAGAUCAUAGUUAGUCUGCGAACAUCAAAAUAUAAUCAAUUUCCAAUUUACUCUUUGGACAUUUAAGUUAUCAUUCAACUUACAUCCUACCAUACGUCAUCACUUAUAUGAUCCAUAUGAACCCACAUUAUGCUAAUGCAAAAUUUCACAUAAUUUACAAGCUUAAAUCUUUUCUUAUCAUUUUAAAUCAUAUGUAUAAGCUUCAUUAUACCAUGUAUCCUUGUAUCACAGCACCAUUAUCCACAUCUCAGUCACUGAAUAUUAUUUUCAUCCAAUUAUAUUUCAGUAUCCAUGUAUGCUUUACGAUCUUAUUGAUCCUUCAAUUCAUCUUUACUGGAUCACUGCAUCUUAUGCGAUCUCACAAUUCCUAAAAGUCACCUUCGUUUCUCAUUUAGCUUUUGUACUUUCAUCAUAUACGUCCUUAUUCAUUUCAAUAUUAGUCAAUCACUUAAGAUUUAGAUUCAUCAAGGUCAUGUACACUUCUUGCAUUCUUGAAUACUAAUUUCCACAUUAGGGAAUUUUCAUUAACUAGCUCCAUUAUCAGCAUUAUCUUUAAUCAUUUUGUACUAUUCCUUUACAUCAAUAUACCAUUACUUUCCCUUUAGCGUUUACACAAUCAAUGCUAAUAUUUAUAAAACUUAAUAUAGAUUUUACUUAAGUAUCCCUCGACACCAUCGCCAAUAUCCAAUUUCAAUUUCACAUCGAGUAACCUCAUAACUUAUGCUUUAACCAUUAAGCUCCUUGACAAUUCCAAGUUUCACAUUUCCUUAUCAUGUAUAUAAAAUAUGUUAAAGUACUAUUAACAAUUAUUCUUGACACUUGUAGUUCGGUGUAUUCAUUUCAAAACUCUUAUACAUUGUCGAACACUCAAUUACUUAUUUGCUCAUUAAUCCUUCAAACACAUUCAGUUCAAAAGCAUGCACUUAUUCUUUGAAAUAUUUUAAUGUAUUCUCAUCUAUUCAUACCUCAAUUUGUAUUCUUAGAUUUCUCAUACGCCACAUAUUUAACCUUAUUUUUAUUAUUACUCUCUUUUCUUUCGACUACAUCAAAAUAAGGUUGCAAUUCCUUUUAACGAUACUAUAAAUUAGUUCGUUUGUCAUACCAACCUCAUAAUCCUUCACAAUUUCCUCACUUGGUAUUAGUGUCCCUUUAUAUCUUAGUAUUCAUCUUUAGUCCACUUAAUAUUCCUCUUGAUUCUUCACAUUGUAGCUUACCUCAGUAAUUUUCCAAUUUCUCUUUUUUACUUUCAUGCCACGAUAUCUAAAUCAAUGAAGAAACCUUUCAGUUCACAUAAUAUUCUCGAAUUCAUUUAAACCUCCGUAUAAUAAUGUUCAGUAUCAAGGUCAUUGACACGAAUUUCAACUUGUAAAUUUAUUUUCAUACUUCACACACCUUGCUCGUGUGGCCAAAACAUGAGAUAUUCUUAAUGCUCUAACGUUGAACCGUUAACAUUACGGUAGUGUAACUAUUGAAAAUUUCUUUCAUAAGGAAGUUCUCUUACCUUUAAAAUUCAUGCAUUAUUCUCAUACUCUAAAUCCAGUCAAUACCUUUAAGCUUAUGUUAUCUUUUAGCAUUGAUCACUUAAACAAGUCUCACUUAAAGAUAUCCUUUCCAUAUGGUAUAACAAAUUUUCAAUUUCAUACUACCACGCAUAGUUAUUCAUCAUUCCUAGUGUUCCACAAUUCUUUUAAUAUUCACCACUUAUUGCCUUUCUUGUCACGACCCGGAACUCCCAUCGAGCCAGUAACAACCGUCGCGACGUCCCGAUAGGCACUCAUUACCCCGAAUGUCGAUCGAAACCCCGCAAGGCUUAGCAUCAGCUUCUGCAUCUCCCUAGUGAGCGAUAGUUAUUAAAUCUCACAUUUCAAAAAAAAUCAUAAGUCAUUUCCAAAUCAAAACAAUAAAAUAUUACUUUCUGGCUCACAGGGGCAUUUUCGUCAUUUUUCUUCAAAAAUACCGAAACUCGUCAAAAACAUGGUGUAAAAGCUAAAUAUAUUCAUACAUAUUUUAAAUUAAAUAACAAAAGAAUAAAAUUACUUUUACAGUGACACGUGGGCCCCCAACUGACUAAGAAAAUGUAGGGUUACGAACCCUUACUUUCUAAGAUGCAACUCCGAGAUUAAUUCUCGUCUUAAUCAACUAUCAACAAAUUGUCCUAAGCUUGAAAAAUGGAUAGGAAGAAGGGGUGAGAUUAUAAAAUCCCAGUGAGUAGACAGACAUCAUCAAAAUAAUCUAAAGUCGAGUAAUAGGAGACAAUUAAAAUAAUUCAUCACAACCCAUAUAAAUAAUUGGAUUUCAUCCAAUUACUCAACANNNNNNNNNNNNNNNNNNNNNNNNNNNNNNNNNNNNNNNNNNNNNNNNNNNNNNNNNNNNNNNNNNNNNNNNNNNNNNNNNNNNNNNNNNNNNNNNNNNNNNNNNNNNNNNNNNNNNNNNNNNNNNNNNNNNNNNNNNNNNNNNNNNNNNNNNNNNNNNNNNNNNNNNNNNNNNNNNNNNNNNNNNNNNNNNNNNNNNNNNNNNNNNNNNNNNNNNNNNNNNNNNNNNNNNNNNNNNNNNNNNNNNNNNNNNNNNNNNNNNNNNNNNNNNNNNNNNNNNNNNNNNNNNNNNNNNNNNNNNNNNNNNNNNNNNNNNNNNNNNNNNNNNNNNNNNNNNNNNNNNNNNNNNNNNNNNNNNNNNNNNNNNNNNNNNNNNNNNNNNNNNNNNNNNNNNNNNNNNNNNNNNNNNNNNNNNNNNNNNNNNNNNNNNNNNNNNNNNNNNNNNNNNNNNNNNNNNNNNNNNNNNNNNNNNNNNNNNNNNNNNNNNNNNNNNNNNNNNNNNNNNNNNNNNNNNNNNNNNNNNNNNNNNNNNNNNNNNNNNNNNNNNNNNNNNNNNNNNNNNNNNNNNNNNNNNNNNNNNNNNNNNNNNNNNNNNNNNNNNNNNNNNNNNNNNNNNNNNNNNNNNNNNNNNNNNNNNNNNNNNNNNNNNNNNNNNNNNNNNNNNNNNNNNNNNNNNNNNNNNNNNNNNNNNNNNNNNNNNNNNNNNNNNNNNNNNNNNNNNNNNNNNNNNNNNNNNNNNNNNNNNNNNNNNNNNNNNNNNNNNNNNNNNNNNNNNNNNNNNNNNNNNNNNNNNNNNNNNNNNNNNNNNNNNNNNNNNNNNNNNNNNNNNNNNNNNNNNNNNNNNNNNNNNNNNNNNNNNNNNNNNNNNNNNNNNNNNNNNNNNNNNNNNNNNNNNNNNNNNNNNNNNNNNNNNNNNNNNNNNNNNNNNNNNNNNNNNNNNNNNNNNNNNNNNNNNNNNNNNNNNNNNNNNNNNNNNNNNNNNNNNNNNNNNNNNNNNNNNNNNNNNNNNNNNNNNNNNNNNNNNNNNNNNNNNNNNNNNNNNNNNNNNNNNNNNNNNNNNNNNNNNNNNNNNNNNNNNNNNNNNNNNNNNNNNNNNNNNNNNNNNNNNNNNNNNNNNNNNNNNNNNNNNNNNNNNNNNNNNNNNNNNNNNNNNNNNNNNNNNNNNNNNNNNNNNNNNNNNNNNNNNNNNNNNNNNNNNNNNNNNNNNNNNNNNNNNNNNNNNNNNNNNNNNNNNNNNNNNNNNNNNNNNNNNNNNNNNNNNNNNNNNNNNNNNNNNNNNNNNNNNNNNNNNNNNNNNNNNNNNNNNNNNNNNNNNNNNNNNNNNNNNNNNNNNNNNNNNNNNNNNNNNNNNNNNNNNNNNNNNNNNNNNNNNNUAAAUAUUUGACUUUUAAUUCUUUAAUUCUCCACCACACAUUUCUCAUGUUUAUCCAUUUCCAUGAUGAAUAAAAUCCCUUGGUCUUGACAAGUGUCGGGGGUAAAAAUUUACCGAUUUGCCCCUGGGGUGGCAAAAUUACCAUUUCAUCCUUAUACUCCAAAUUAUACCGGAAUUAAAAUUUUUCACUUCUAAACUUCAAAUCAUACUCCAAUACUUAAAUCAUACUCCAAUAAGUCAAAUGGACCAAAAAAAAUCAUUUCUAAAAAUUCCCAUUUUGUCCCCAAGUGGCAAAUGACCAUUUUACCCCUAGAUAGUGAAAAUUCUGAUUUGACUCCAAAUUGAUCCUCGAACUCCGAAUUACCAUUUUGAGUCAUCCAUGAACUGUGAAACUCUUAAUUUCACCUUAAAAUUCUUAUUUGAACUAGUUCGAGGCUUAUUCGACUCAAUGGUACCAUUAGGGGCAAUAUCAUCUUUUAACGAUUCCUCGAACUUUCUAAAUCUGCAAACAUUCUAUUGAGCAUGUAAAUGACGUCGUAAUUAUUUUAUGGAAUAGGGUUUGACAUUUCUUGUCUUGCAACUCUUGUAAUUCAACCAUUUCAACUUAAAAUUGUCAUGAAACUUGUCCAUCCUAAUCAUUCUCCUUGUGUUCACAUUAUUAUUUCAAAAGUUAAGAGGCUAUUAUUUCCCUAUUUUCACCAUCGCUUCUAAUGAUGUAUAUUAUGUCAAUUAUCUUCACCUAAAAUCAAGGCACUCUAUGCCUCCAUCCCAUCAACAUUCAUACCCCACAAGACAUGGUUAAGAAACUCAUAGACUUUUACCUAUGCUACUCUCAUUCAACUGUGCAUAACCAAUUCCAAACAUUCAAGCAAAUCAUUAAUUUAACUACCAUAUAUCCAAUUUGAUUCACACGAGAUUAACCACAUCCAAAGUUUUCCAAACACAUAAUUUACAACUAUAUUUUAGUUCAACUACAUCCCACAGUCUCACAAUCCUUCUCCUUUCCUUGAGGAUAUAUAAUCUCAAGAGUAUCGCUAUUUGAGCUCGUACUUGCCGACUUGUCUUGUCCCAUCACUCUUUCUUUUAUUUAUUUCAUUUCUUCCUUCAUUAUUUGCAUUGGUCAGCCCCCUACCAUUCUUUCUUCUCUUUCUUUUCUUUGUUCCAUGUGGCCGGCCCCUCCUUCAAAACAAGCCUUAACAUGGCUUUUGCUUCCCACUUUAUUACACAUGGGCGGCUGAUCAAGUCAGCCCCCUCCCCCUUUAUUUAUUUAUUUAUUCAUGCUCCAUAUAUCAUUUAUAUUUUUAUUUAAUUAUUCUUUGGCCCAUUCGACAUGUUUUAAAUUUCAAUUUCCUUCUAUCUUUCUUCCUCUACGUGUGUACCACCAAAAUAUCGAAGUUGUACUUCAACGCGAUAUUACCAUAAUAUUUAAACAUUUACUUACCCGCAAUAGUUCGAUUUAAUAAAAACACGCGUGUCUCACUUACGUCAUUUAUCUCCAAAAUUCAUUUGUACUUCUUCUCCCCCACUUGGAUUGACCAUAUAAUUCCUUUUCAUGACUAAUUCCAAGAUCGGAUUAAAUGUUAAUAUUUUAAUAUUAUUUUAUUUCAAAAUUUUUUACUUGUCUCUUUUAGUCUCGGAACAUCUUAUAAUGUCCCAAUUCAUUUCCAAAUCAUCUUUUAACUUGUUAAUUCAUCCCUAACAAGGGUAUGAUUAUUUAAUAAUUAUUUUCGUACGUGCGAAAUAUUUUACUCUUGGGCAUUCUUUUCACCGUUUAUCUCUUUUUAGCACAUAAUUUCAUACCAAUCAGCCCUUCGUGUCCAUUGAUCCUUCUUUAGCACUAAGGCGACCUUUUCCUUUCUUCCCACAAUUGCUCAUGUUGUCGCAGGGGCACCUUAAGACCUACAUACAAACAUGCAUUAAUUCUUAACCUCUUACGUAUUAUGAUAAAGGUAGGUUUUUAAAGGAAUAAGAGUUUAUGUAGCCUCCUUCCCUUGAUUCGUGUUACGCACCCACAGACCAAGGAUAGAACUUUACACUAACUCUAACAACUCUGCUGAUAAACAUAGAAAAUCUUAAGACUCAGCUAAACCUAGGGCUUUGAUACCAACAUUGUAACGACACUUCCUCGAUCGCUACCAGCGUCCGAGACCUCCGGGAAAGACCCACCAAGUCUCGAACAAGCCUUACUCGAAAUGCCCAUUAGUUUACUACAUACAAUCACCAUUCUAUAUUGAUACUUAAAACAAUGUACUUUCAUAUCAUGACUUGAACCAUAAACAUAAUAAUCGAUUCAAGCUUUAAACCAUUUAAUCACAAGUUUAUACAUUGAAAUCCACAAUCUCCAAUUAUUUACUUAUACCAAAAUCAAUAUCUAUUUACCACUUAAUGAACAAAGUGCUACAACUCUACCUCUAACAGCGGAGUGACUGGGAAUAGAAUGCUAGGAGAUGCCUUUACCUAACUGUAGUGGACCGAACGCACCGAUGAUUACACGCUAGGCAGAUCCCUGUCUGUAAAAAGGGAAAUAAAAGAGUGUAAGUCUCACAGACUCGGUGAUCAUCGGCUCCGUGAGUAGGGCAUAGAUGGGAAACAAGCAAUAAGGUAAAGAUUUUGAAUAUUAAAAAUUACAAAAGUAGAUAAAAAAAUAUUUUUCUUCAAACGGAGAUUUAUGCUUUAUAUAUAUAUAUAUAUAAAGAAAAUAACAUCAAGAAUUUCUUGUAAGUUGUAAUUAGCCAAGAUGUAUAUCAAAUCAAGGUAAGUAAAAUUUUCAGCAUCGAAACAGGUUAAUAAGCAUUUUCAAAUCAAAUCAUUUCAAAUAUCAUUUUAAAUCUAGUGUACGUAAAAGAUCUCUGCCGUCAAAAUUAUUUCACAUAUUAUUCCCGUCAAAUCAAUAAAAUUGAGCAAGCUCUCGCGAAAUCAAAUUUUAUUUAAAAUUAUGCACAAAUCAUAACUCACCUCAUAUGCGAGGAUUUAAAAUUCAUUUCAUAAUAGAAAUCAGGGAGCUGCGGAAAACCAUCUAGUUCUAUUUUCACCAUACAAAGAACUACGAGUUUAAAAACCCAAGGAGAUUUUAGUCUCAAGUAGGAAAUCAAAUAAAGUUCGUGGUCUCGCUACCACGUAAUAACAUCCGGGAGCCUCGCUCCAUCGGAUCCCACAUGCCAUGGUAGACUCAACGAUGUUAGCCGACAGCAGAGAAUCAAGCGGUCGCAACCGCAUAAUCAUCUGGUGGCCUAGCCAUGCAUACACAUAUCACAGGCCGUGGCCCCCCCCACGCCUAACCACCCGUUUGCAACCCAAGGGUUCUCUAGCUAGAGCUCACUCGUGCACGAGGGUCACACCUAACCGAAGUGAUAACCGGCCUACUCUCGAAUCUCUUGAUUUGUAAAACCAUUUUUGUAAUUUUUUAUGUCUUUAAAAGCUCGUCUCAAAAUUAUUUCCAAAGCAUUCAACACAAAGUAUGAUAAAAUCUAUUAUCAUUUUUAUAAAAUAAAGUUGGUGCAUGAAUUUCGAAACAAUAACUCGCAUGGUAAAUAAGCAUUAUAAUCAUGAAUGUACACUACACAAAUAUAUAAGGCACAUUUUUUAUAUAAAUCAUCUUGAAAAGCUUGUUUCCCGAUUUAAAACACUUUACGUAUAAUUGAUACAUAUAUAUUCAAAACACGUUCGAAAAAUCAUAACAAUUACAAAUUUCCUAGAAUUCUACCAACUCAUGCUUUCCACAAUUUUUGCAUGUAAAAUAAACUAUAAGUAUAUAUAUAUAUAUAUAUAUAGACAUAAUUACGGGGAAUUUUAAAAUAGACACCCCCUACUCACCUUGCAAUAGCGGGUUACUACGUCGCUAUUUUUACUUGUCGGUCGCUCGUUACUUCCUCCGACAUGCCACUACAGUGCACUAUCUUUACUUUGGUACUUCCUAGCAACAAUUCAAACUCAAUAUAUUUAGUGCAUCAAUUCCACUUCUAUUUCUCAUUCUAUCAUGAAUCCAUAUUUAACUAACUCACAUCUUAAUACAUUUUUACUAAAAUUACUUAUAUCCUUUGUUCACGUAAUUCUUUAGAUUAUAAACACCGACAACUUAUUUAUGAUAUUAAGUGCCCACUUCAACCUUUCUAAGCAACUUCCAUCUAAAUCCAUCUUAUAUUUUCAUAAUAUUAACCACAUUUACGGCAACCACAAUCAUUUCAAAUCUACUCAAUUAUUUUCCAAUUUUCAUCCACAUUAUUCCUCCUUAUUUCUUCCAAAUAAUAUACCAUGAAACUUAACACUUCCAACUAACUUAUGCAAAUAGAUUCCUCUGACAACAAUAAUUCCUCACAAUGAACCAUUUCAAAAUUUCUUAACUAUACUUAAAACACUAUUCAUUCAUUUCAUAUUUUCCUAUUUGCUUUAAUCCUAUGAGAUAUCAUAAAAGAGUUUUUAAAUGUUGUAUUAAGGCAACUUAAAUGUACUUCAUAUCACCAAUAACCAAAGUUUAGUUAAACAAGAUGGGCUAGCCCCCAAACAGUCUAAUUUCACAACAAGCCCAUGGAAAAGGGCAAAGCAAUUUUACCAAAUUAGGCUAGGAUUGCCAAGUCUCCAACAUUAUUCUCUUUCUCUUUUUCUCUCUUCUCUUGUUACCCGAUCAGUAACUCCCAACCUUCAUUAUUGACAACUUACACGUCGUCCUUCACUCCCUCCUUUGUCGCAACUUCCUCUCCUUGGUUCAACAGAAUUUCCUUCUCAAAUCGGCAACAAGACUCUUUCUUUUUCCCUCUCAAAACUGGAAACAAAUUCCUUCAUUUCUCCCUCUCAAAAUCGAUAGCAAGUCCACUCAUUUCUCCCUCUCAAAACUGACAGCAAGUCAGCCCCCUUUUUCCUCCUUAAACUAUCAGCAACUCAGUUUUUUUCUCUCAUUCUCCAACUGCCAUUUUUUUUGCUCUCUCACCAGCACUUUUUCUCCCUUUUCUUUACCUCAUAAACAACUCUAUCCAGUUGCCAUUUUCUACUCUCUCACCAGCAUUCUUUCUCCCUUUCUCCUUGCUCCAUAAAUGGCUGUCGAUAGAGCCAAGGGAGAAUAAUAAUUUUCUUUUCUUUCUCACCAGCUUUUUCACUCUCAGUCUUUAUCACAAGCCUGGCUGAUGCAAGAAAAAUAAAGCCAAAUGAAUUUUUUUUUUCAUUAUAUGGGCUGCAUUGUUAGGGGGAAGAAAGUCGACUUGUCUUGUCCCAUCACUCUUUCUUUUAUUUAUUUCAUUUCUUCCUUCAUUAUUUGCAUUGGUCGACCCUUACCAUUCUUUCUUCUAUUUCUUUUCUUUGUUCCAUGUGGCUGGCCCCUCCUUCAAAACAAGCCUUAACAUGGUUUUUGCUUCCCAUUUUAUUACACAUGGGCGGCUGAUCAAGUCAGCCUCCCCUUUUCUUAUUUAUUUAUUCAUGCUUCAUAUAUCGUUUAUAUUUUUAUUUAAUUAUUCUUUGGUCCAUUCGAUACAUUUUAAAUUUUAAUUUUUUUCUAUCUUUCUUCCUCUAUGCAUGUACUAUCAAAAUAUCAAAGUUGUAUUUCAACGCGGUAUUACCAUAAUAUUUAAAUAUUUACUUAACCACGUUAGUUCGAUUUAAUAAAAACAGGUGUGUCUCACUUACGUCAUUUAUCUCCACAAUUCAUUCGUACUUCUUCUCCCCCACUUGGAUUGACCAUAUAAUCCCUCUUCAUGACUAAUUCCAACAUCCGAUUAAAUAUUAAUAUUUUAAUAUUAUUUUAUUUUAAAAGUUUUCACUUGUCUCCUUUAGUCUCAGAAGAUCUUAUUAUGUCGCAAUUCACUUCCAAAUCAUCUUUUAACUUGCUAAUUCAACCCCGACAAUGGUAUGAUUAUUUAAUUAUUAUUUUCGUACGUGCGGAAUAUUUUACUCUUGGGCAUUCCUUUCACCUUUUAUCACUCUUUAGCACAUAAUUUCAUACCAAUUAGCCCUUCGUCUUACCGGGACGAUUACAUUGACUACUAUACGAGAGUACGGGGUGUUACAGUUGUUUUACAACAAGCAUAAUGCAAUAUAUAGAGCAAUGUAAAUAACCAAAACAAAUAGAAUAACUAUAUCAUGUAAACAAAAAUGAAAUUAACCUACAACAAGUAGUAGGAUUCAUGGGUUAGUUUCACUUCUCAUAUAUAAAGAUCGUUAAGAGGUUUUCAUCUUAACCUUUUUUUGAAGUACAAGUACUUUUACCUCUCACCUUUUAAUCAAAAGCAAGUCUUAUUACACCAUUAAUGAUAAUCUAUUAGAAAAUCCACUACUUUUAAUGGCUACAUAAUGGGAUUUCAAUCAUUGUUACUCAUUAUAUACAUUAAAGCUCUCUUCAGUAACUAUUGCAUACUAUGUACAUCAAAGCUCUUUUCGAUAUUGUUACUUAUUAUAUAAUUAAAACUUAUUCUUAAAUAACUAUUUUUUAUACUUUAUAUAUAAAGUUUUGACAAUUCAUUUUCAUGUAACAAGAUUUUCUAAAGAUAGGCAAUUAGACUUCACACACUCUCUCAAAUUCUCUAGUACUUAUCCCUUCUCCUCUUAUUCUCAACUUACUUUGUCCUUAUUACCUAUUCUCAACACUUUCUCUACCCUACCCUUAGCCUUACUUUAUCACUUACCUAUUCUCUUUAAUCUGGCAUAAGACUUAGUAUUUUAAGAAUUGUUUCAAUCUUUUUUUAUGCUACUUCCAGCAUGUAUUUUUACUUAUUUACAAUUCUACCUCUUCUUAUACAAGAACCCCUUUAUAAUAUUUAUGUGGAUGUAACUCCAACUUUUAUCCUGUUUUAGGAGUUAAUUAUCUUUGAUUUGUAGAUUUGUAUGGCUAGUAUAUAAAUAAAAUUUAUCUUUAUGAAAAAUAAAAUUGCAGCAUAGUAAGAAAAAAGGUUAAGAAUGUAAAAAUUUUAUAAUUGGGGCCUGAAAUCCGUAGGCAACAUAGGAUCCAAAGAAUCUUGGGAAAGUGGUCGGUCUAGAACUCACCUGCAGUAAACAAGUGCUGGAACCACCACUCCAUCUAUCGGAGGAAAACGUGGGGAAAAUGAUAUUUUAUUCUCACAACUGGAAGGAAACCUCGACAACGUUAAGCAUGGUUUCUGUCUUUAUUAGGACAAGUCCAUCCACGUUGUAAUGAAAAGUAAAUAUCAAAUCAAAUAUAAAAUGUUAUAAACAUUUCAAAAAAAUAAUGAAGAAAUGAGUGGAUGAUGAUUUCCCAUAUGAGAGAUAGGAAGGAGCCAUCCUACUCAUCUUAUCCUUUCUUUUCUCCUAUGCUCAAAAAUAUUUUAUAUUAAAUUUAUGUAUAAAGAGAAUUCAUCAAGCCACAUGUGCAAAAAUAAAGAAAAAAUAAAUUUACAUGCACAUGAUAAGAAACCAUAUCGUUUCAAAGUUCUAAAUGAAACACUAUUUAUAAUAGUGAUUAAAUCUGGAUUCUAACAUUCAUAACUGUAAACUAUUUAGACAAUCAAAUUAAACAAUAUGCUAACAUAGCAUUAAAAUUCUAAUAUAGCAUUUAAUACCAUUUAUGCAAUGGGAGGUAUUUGUAUUUGACUUAAAUCCUAUGAAAGAACCAAUCUUAACUAGUUAAACAUUUUUAAUUGAAAGUUAUUGAAUUGAAAUUCGUAUUUAUAAUUUGGCUAAAUUUUAUUAAUAUUUAUAAUAAUUAAAAUUAUUUAAAAUGACAAUUUUGAAAUAUAAAUAUAAAAAAUUUCAUUAAUAAAAGAUUUUAUCAAUAUUUUUCCUUUUUUUAUAUUUUAUAGAUUAUAGAUUAUAAAUACUUGCCACCUUAGAACACAAAAUUAAUUUUAAAAAAUUAAUCUUAAAAUUUUAUUUCAUUUAUAAAUUUUAUUAAUCUAAAAUAAAUAAAUAAACCCCUACACUAUCUCAAAUAUUCUAAAUAAAAACUUAUACUUGUGUUGCAACUAAUAAAACCCUCAUUGUAUUUUUUUUCAUUGUUGGAGCCCUUACUAGACAGAAUGAUGAAGUAGGCAGAACGUUAGUUAAGUCUCUUCACAAUGUGAAAUUUAUUUGACAAUUGGACAAAUGACAUCGAAAUAACCCUUAAAUGUCGUGACAAUUCUUUUAUGAUAUAAUGCUUAAAUAAAUUCUUAAACUAUUGAAGAAUAUUUAAAUAAGUAUUUAUUAUUUUAUUACGUUUAAUCAAGUCUCCGUAUUUUUAUUUUAAAUUAAAUAAGCCUUUAUGACUAAUGAUUGGUUAAUUACUAUUAGUAAAAAUGUCACUUGUUAUUUAAUGUCCUCCUAACAUUGAUAUGACAUUAAUGUGAAAAGUAAAAAAUAACACAUGAUUAAGUUAUUAUGCAAAUGAGCAUGUCAUAUCAUCAUUAAUUAUGAUAUGUCAGCAUGCCACAUCAUAAUCAAUUAUAAUAUUUUAGCAUGCCACAUCAAUAUCACUGAUAUAGAAUAACAAAUGACAUUUUAACUAAGUCAAUCAUUAGUCAUAAAAACUUAUUCAACUCAAAAUAAAAAGGACAAGGAUUUCUUUAACUCAAAAUAAAAGUACUAAAGCUUGAUUGAACGCAAUAAAAGUAUAAGGCUUAUUUGAAUUUUCUUAAAUAAUUUAAAGACUUUUUUGUAUGUUAUGCCAUUUUAUUAUUAUUAUAUUUUCAUCUCCAUUUUUUCUCUUUUCUUUCUCUGUCUCCUUCCACUUUGUUUGCCAACUGACUAGCCGUUCGUUGCUUGAUUUUCAUAUCGGUGACUCUAAACGUCGGAUUUGGCCCUACAAUGUUAUAGGAGGCUGUUAGAAGCUAGAAUAGUUGGAUUUGGUCAUAUUUCAGUUUCUCUUUUCAAAGUCUCUUUCCUUUGAAAAGUACACAAAUAAAGUAAGUAACUAAAUCCAAAUUAACAUUGAUUCUUGUAUUUUUCUAAAAGAAAAAUAGGAAACUCAUACAUUUAAAUACCCAGACCCAAAUAAGAUUCAAUUGUUUCUCAUAUGAAGAAAAAUAUAUUAAUGAUAUUAUAUAUAAAUAAAUUUAUUGACAAUGAGAAAAUUACUAAACAAAAAAAUUUAAUCUUUACUUGAGUUAAAUUUAUAAAUUUAACUAAUUAGUAUAUUUAUUUUAGUACUAACUCAAUCAUAUAAAAAAUUUAUCAAUUAUAAUCUUUUAAGAAAUUCUUUUAGUACUUAUAUAUUCAAAUAACCUAUCAUAAUUUUAGAGUACAAAAAAUCGAGUACUUAUUCACAUAAAUUAUCAAAUCGAAGUAAUACUUAUAUACUUAUUAUUUUUUGUUUAUUCUAGUAUGUAUUAAUUCAAAUGAAUGUAUGCAUUAUUUUCCUUUAAUAGUAUAACUUAGGAAAAAUAGUUUACAUUAAUAAAGUGGGAAAUUAUUAUACCAAAAACUUAUAUGUAUAAAUAAUGUAGAAAAAUAAAAAAUAAAGAAACUAAAAGAAAAAGCAUUAAAAAGGAUAAAGAAAAGAAAGAAAAGGAAGAAAUAAGAAAAAGGAAAUUGUUAGAAAAAUAGUGUUUUGUGAGAGGCAAAGUGUCACGAUUCACACCAACCUAGAGUUAUUAUUCGUUUUGGCUCGAUGGCCUUAUGGUUUUGUCUCACAGGUUAAAGAUAAUGUGAACCUUUAAAUACCCAGUCUUACUUUAAUACCAUAGUCAAUGUGAGAUUCAUGGCUCUUCUUUGGGACCAUGACAUCUUCCCUUGAUGCCUUUGUAACGACCCCUCCUCGAUCGCUACCGGCGUUCGAGACCUCCGGAAGAUCCCGCCAAGUCCCGAACAAGCCUUAAAGAAAUUUCUCAAUAACUCAUUGUACACUUUUACUAAACCGUAUUCAUGCUUGAACCAUAUAUAUUUAUAACAUGAAUUCAACAAUAAGCAUAGCCAUUAAAUUUUUGACUUUAAGUCAUGACAGCACAAUUACAUACCUUGAGUUCAAAAAUCUCAAAUUUAUGAUUAUAUCAAAACUAAUAUUUGUUCACAUAGUAAAACCAGAGUACUACAACUCAACCUCUAACAGCAGAGCGACUCGGGAUAAAAUGUUAUGAGAUGCCUUUACCUAUCUGCGGUGGACCAUACACACCGAUGAUUACACGUUAGGCCAAUCCCUGUCUACAAAAGGGGAACUAAGAGGGGUGUGAGUCUCACAAACUCAGUGAUCAUCGACUCUGUGAGUAGGGCGUAGAUGGGAAACAAGCAAUAAGGUAAAGACUUUGAAUAAUAAAAAUUGCAAGAUAGAUAAAAAUAUUUAAUUCAAACGAAGAUUUGUGCCUUAUAUAUAUAAAAAAAAAUAUCGAGAAUCUCUUGUAAGUCGUAAUCAACCAUAAUAUAUAUCAAAUCAAGUAAGUAAACUUUUGUGCAUCAAGAAGGUUAAUAACCAUUUUCAAACUAAAUCAGUAAAAUAUCAUUUUAAACCUCGUGUUGUAAAAGAUCUCUGUAGUCGAAAUUAUCUCAUGUAAUACUCCAAUCAAAUCUAUAAAGUUAGGCAAGCUCCCGCGAAACCAAACAGUAAUCAGGUUUAUACACAGUUCAAUAAAUCACCUCGCACGCGAGGGUAAAAUUCAUAUAACAGUAAAACCAGGGGGAGUUGCAGAAAACCGUAUAAUUUCGUUUUCACCAUGCAAGAAAUAAGAGUUUGAAAAUCCAAAGAGAUUUUUAUCUCGAGUAAAAAAUUAAAUAAAAUCCAUGGUCCCAUUACCACUUAAUAACCUCGGGGAGCCUCGCUCCACCAGAUCCCACAUGCCAUGGCAGUCUCAACGAUGUUGGCCGACAUCGGAGAAUCAAGCGAUCGCAACCGCAUAAUCAUCUGGUGGCUUAGCCAUGCAUACAUAUUUCACAAGCCGUGGCCCUCGCCACGCCUAACCUCUCGACAGCGACCCAAAGGUUCUCUAGCUAGAGCUCACUCGUGCACGAGGGUCAUACUUAACCGAUGUGACAUCCAGCCUACUCUUGACGCUCUCGAUUUAUCAAAAACGUUUUAAAAAUCACAUUACAUCCUUAAAAAUUCAUGUCAAAAAUAUUUCCAAAGCAUCCAACAUUGGGUAUUAUAAAAUCUAUCAUUUUCUCAAAAUAAAAUUUAUGCAUGAAUUUCAAAACAAUAAUUUGCAUGGUGAAUAAACAAUAUAGUCAUGAAUGCACACUGCACAAAUGUAAGCCACAGAUUUUGAUGUAAAAUAGUGUGAAGGGUUUGUUUCUCGAUUUUCAAAACACUUCACAUAUAAUUUAUACAUAUAUAUUCAAAACAAUUUCUGAAAAUAAUUUGCAUUCACAAUUCCCUAAAAUUUCUACCAGCACAUGCUAUCUAUAAUUUUUGUGCUUAACGUAAAAUAUACGUACAUGUAUAUAUAUAUACGAAAAUUUUAAAAUUGACACCCCCUACUCACCUCACAAUAGCGGAAUAUUACAUCGUUAUUUCUACUUGCCGGUAGCUCGUCACCUGCUCUGGCACGUCGUUAUAGUGCACUAUCUUUACUUUAGACUUCAUAUCAACAAUCCAAACUUAAUAUAUUUAGUGCAUCAAUUUCACUUCUAUUUCUCAUCCUAUCAUGAAGCCAUAUUUCACUAACUCACAUCUUAAUGCAUUUUUUACUAAAAUUACUUAUAUCCUUUGCUCACGUGUUUCUUUAGAUUAUAUAAACUCCAACAACUUAUUUAUGAUAUUAAGCGCCCACUUUAACCUUGCUAAGUAAAUUUUGCCCAAAUCCGUCUUAAUAUUUUUAUAAUAUUAACCAUAUUCACAGCAACCAUAAUCAUUUCAAAUCUACUAGAUUAUUUUCCAAUUUCCAUUUACAUUAUUCCCCUUAUUUCUUCCAAUUAAUAUACCAUGCAAUCUAACACUUUCAGCUAAUUUAUGUAAAUAAAUUCCUCUGACAACAAUAAUUCUUCACAACGAAUCAUUUCAAAAUUUCUUAACUACACUUAAACACUAUUCAUCAAUUUCAUAUUUUCUUCUUUGCUUUAGUCCUAUGAGACAUCAUAAAAGAAUUUUUAAAUAUUGUAUUAAAGUAAUUUAAAUUUAAUUCAUAUCAUUACUAACCAAAAUUUAACUAAACAAGUGGGCUAGCCCCAAAUAAUCCAACUUCAUAACAAGCCCAAUAAAAAACAAGAAAAUUUUUACCUAUUGGGCUAGGUUGGCCCAAGCCCAAGUCUCCACCUUUCUUUUCUUUUGGGUCUACCCUUCCUUGUUUCCAUUAGGCCUCUUUUCUUGUUGCUAUUGGGCCCUUUUCAUGGGCUCUUUCCAUUUUUUCCUUAUUGGGCUAUGCCCACUAUUUUUUUUUCUUUUUUUUUCUUGGUCAAUAACACCUUUUUCUUUUUCUUCCUCCUCCCUGCCGGCGUCGCACCUUUCUUUCUCUCUUUUUUCUCUCUUCUAGCUUGUCAAGCCCAGCUCUAUAAUAUAUUUGCCAUGUCAUUCAUGUACUUGAUAACAUGUCUACAUACUUGGAUGUCUCGAAAAAUCGUUAAAAGUCGGUAUUAUAGUUAAUGGUACAAUUAAGUCGAUUAAAGCCUCGAACUAGUCCAAAUAGAGAUUUUGGGAUGUAUUUGAGAGUUAUUGAACCUUAGAAUGUCUUAAUAUGGUGAUUUGGAGUCCAAUCGAGAAUUUUUAUAACGUAGGGGCAAAAUGAUCAUUUUGCCACCUGAGGGCAAAAAUUUGAAUGUUGGACGAGAUUUUUGACCAAGUUUGACUUUUUGGAACAUAAUUUGAAUUUGAGAAGUGAAAAUUUUCAAUUCCGACAUUUUUCGAACAUAAGGGCAAAACGGUCAUUUCAAGUAUCCAUGAGGACGUAAUUAGAAUUUUUUAAAUUUUACACCACCAUGACACUUGUUAAACCCAUGAAUUUCAUCUAUUAUCAUUUUAUACUUUGGAUAAUUAUGGGAUUAUAUGUGGUGGAAAGGAAAAGCCUUAUUAGUUAAGUUUUAAAUGUGAACCAAUUAUAUGUUGCCAUGUGUCAAGUUUUUAUUAUUUUAUAAUUUCCUUUAUAAACUCAACAUAAACUCUCCCAUUCACCCUCUCAUUGCCGUCCAAGCCAAAGAACAAAAAGGGGAAAGAAUAGAAAAACCCUAAGGAGAAAAAAUUCAAGAGAAAUUCAUUGGAUUUUUGAAAAACGAAGCGAUCGGAGGUAAGAUUUCGCGAUUUAGCUUAAGAUCUACCUUAUCCAUGCUUUCUUUUUCAUUUUCUAUGGUUGAAACUCAAGUUUUCAUGAUGGAAGCAUGCUGGCCGAAUCAAGGGGGGAAGGUUUUGAUGAUGGUUUUUGAUAGAUUUCAGACUAUCUAGGUGUUUUUAGUGUUUUGUGAUAUUCGGUAUGAAAAACAAGCAAGAAAACAAUAUGUUCUUCGUCAAACCCUAAUUGGCCGAAUUCUAUAGGGAAUAUUUUGAAGAUGAAUUUUGUCAUAUUUCAUGUUAUCUAGCUCGUAUUUGAUGAUUCGUGAUAUCGGAUAUCGAAAACGGUUAUCGAAAAGUAUAGUUUAUUUAGUAAACGACUUGAACGAUAAUGAGAAAAUUUUAGUAAAUGGACUUAGAAUUGAUUUCUAAUGAGGUAUACAGACUUAUUGGAGCAUCGAAAGUGCAAUGAAUCUAUUUGGAGUUGAAUUGGAUGUUUUGGCUAAUUAAACAUUAUAUAGUGCGAGUUAGGUCGAAUACCAUUUCAGUCUAACAACAAUUGAACCUACGUAGAACACCAUCUUUAAGUGAUUAUUCGAACACUUCUCAUUCAAUUUCAUACAUUCAUAGAGAGCUUGAAAUAGUUUUAUAACAGUUUGGCACAAAUAUAUUGAAUUACUUGUUAUGUAUUAUGUAUAGGUGGUGAGCCCUCUGAUAAGGGUAAGGAUAUCGUACCCGAGGACGAAGAGUAGGAGUACUCCCGUUAUUGUGAGUGAACAGAGUAUCAUCUUAAUUAUCUAAAGUAGUUUAUACUCGUUUUUAUGAUUUUAAAGAAUAAUGAACUUAAAUUGUAAAUUAUUAUGUUUUAAAAUUUAAGUGUUGGUUAAAUGAAAUAAGGCUCAUAAAUUGUUUUGAAAUUGAAUGCUGGUUUUGGAAAUUAAGUAAGUGGAAACUAUAUACUUGUGAUAUAUAUAUAUAUAUAUAUGUUUUGACUAUUGUUAGUUAUGCCGACCCUGCUUUGUAAUGAAUGUUUCAGCAUAAUGGGAUUUGAAAUUGAUAUAUGGUUUGAAUUGAUGGCUUAUGACAAUGUGACGGCAUGAAUGGCUGGAUUUGUGUUUGUGUGGAAUAUAUGAACUAUUUUGUUUUACCUUGACAGGCUGGGUAAUAUCAUAUUAGCCAUGUCAUACCAUCGAAAUUUUUAUUGAUUUGGUGGGGUAAUUGAUUAGCUUACUGCAGUGGGCGGGUUUUCAUGGACCGGCCUAUUAGAGGGGCAUGAUAAAUUUCGUCAUAUUUUACCUUAGUAGGAGAGGCGCGGAGGGUAUCUCCUAAGGUAGUUUAGAGUUUACUUUAUGCCAAACUACCACGUGAGGGUGAAGCUCAGCCAACGCCAAGGAAUGGCUACGUUUUUAAACGUAAAAACAUGUUUUAUGUGCAUAUGUUAAUUUAACAGCCUUGACGGACUUGGUUGGAUGCCCAGCGCAAGGUGUCACCGAGUACGAUUUUUGGCACAAGCCAAGUUUUAAGAGAGUCAUAAGCCUUGUUGAUUUUUUUAUGAAAUGUAACUGUUUUAUAUGGGUUGAAAUGAGUUUUAAUGUUAUGAAUCAUAUUAUGAUGAGAUGUUUUAAUUGUCUCCAUUUACUCGGCUUUAGAUGUUAUAGAUGAACUUUGCUUACUCACUGGGUUUAUAAAAAUUCACCUCUUUUUUUUCACCCAUUUUAGGUUCAGAGUAGUCUGUAGACAGUCGAUUUUGUCGAGGGUUUGCUUUUGGAUUUGCACUUUUAGAAAUCGUAGGUCUAUAGUCCUGUUUAUUUUUGUUAUUUUGGGACUCACAUGUCAUUGUAAAAUAUUUUUGUAUACCCUAGCGCUGUGUGCUGUUAUGUCUAUGAAUUUAUUUUGUUAUUACACUACAGUAAUUGUUUACGUAUAAUUUUAUAAAUAUUGUUUUACAUGAAAAUAGAAUAUUUUAUCUAAUAUUUUUAUUUAAUAUUGUUAGUUAUAAAUUCACUUUAAAUGGAUGAUUUAGAUACCUAAAUUUAUUUUUAGAUAUGAAAUGUAUAUUUUUUAUUUAUAUAUUAUAUUUUAGCAGGUUUCAAAAUUUUUAGAUAAAAUGACCAAAAUACCCCUGUGCGGUAGAAAUUACUUUUUGAGUAUCUUUGAUAUGAAAAUAGUCUAUAUUCCUUUAAAACAUGAUAUUUAGUAACUGUUGCUCACAGAGGAGGUGGAAAACUGAUGCUAGAGCCUUGCAAGGUUUCGGUUGACAUUCCAAGUAAGGUAUGUCUAUCGAGACAUCGCAGCGGUUGUCACGGGCUCGAAGAAAGUACCGGGUCGUGACACAGCCUGCCUUCUUUCUCCUUCUUUCUUCUCCUCCAGCCGACCUUCUUUCUCUCUUUUUCUUUCCUUUCUUCUUUUUCUUUCUCUCAUUAUCCUUCAAUUCCUUUCUCCUUUAUUCUUUCUCUUAUUCUACUUCCUUUCCUUUCUCCUUUCUUCUUUCUUUUUCUUUCUUUCUCCUCGACUUGGCAGAUUUUCUUUCCCUCUUUUCCAGCUAGCAACACCAGCUCUUUCUUCUUUCUCUUUCUUUCAGCUAUUUUUUCUUCUCUCUCUUUGUCACGACCCGGAACUCCCAUCGGGCCCAAGACAAUCGCCGCGAUGUCUCGAUAGGCACUCAUUACUCGGAAUGCCGAUCGGAACCCUGCAAGGCUUAGCAUCAGCUUCCGCAUCUCUCCGGUGAGCGACAGCUAUUAAAUCUCGCAUUUCAAGAAAUCAUAAGUCGUUUCCAAAUCAAAAUAAUAUAAUAUUAUUUUCUGGCUCACAAUGGCAUUUUCAUCAUUUUUUUUAAAAAAAACUGAAACCCGCCAAAAACAUGGUGUAAAAGCUAAAUAUGUUCAUACAUACUUUAAAUCAGAUAACUAAAGUAUAAAAUUACUUUUACAAUGACACGUGGGCCCCCAACUAACCAAUAAGGUGCAAGUUUGUAAACCUAUAAUUUUGUCGAUGCAAGGCUAACUGAAGUCCUUGAUGCAAUCGGCUAUCUAUCGGCUAUCCCGAGCCUGAAAUGUGGGGAAUUGAGGGUGGUGAGAUUAUAAAAUCUCAUGAGUAAACAGAUACCAUCUAAAGUAGAGUAAAUGGAGACGAAUUAAAAUAAGUCAUCAUGUUGUAAUUUCAUUACUUUUCAACUCAUUUCAACCAAAUAAACAGAUAGGCUUAUGAUUUCCUGAAAAGCUUGGCUCGUGCCAAAAAUCAUUCUCAUACUCAGUUAUCAGGGAUACCUUGAUCGAGGGUUAUCCCAACCGAGUUUGCCAAGGCUGUUAAAUGUUUUUACAUCCGAAAUUUUAGCUAUGCCUUGGUGUUGGCUAAGUUUCACUCUCACGCGGUGGUCCACGUGAAGUGCACUCAAAUCUUUACCUCAGGAGAUACUUCAUCCAACAUCUCCCCCCGGAGGUAAAAAUAUAAUUGGGUUACCGUGCCCCUCUCAUAAGCAGUCCACGAAAACCCCCACCACUGCAGUGACUAUGGAUUAUUUUAUCUACCGCCUGAUUUAUAAAAUCUUUUUCUGUAUGACAUGGCAAUUUAUCGCAACCUAGCAUCUCAAGGCUGAAUACACAAUACAAAUAAUUCUAACACCAAAAAUCAGUUUAGCCAUUCAUACUCAUAUAUUGUCAUAAGCCAUUCAAUUUAAAACCAUAAAUUUGCAACACAAGCAGGUAGUCUCUAAUUACUCUAUUUUCAAAACCAGUAUUCAAUUUUCCUGAAAAUUUAUAAAAUCAUUUUAUAAAAUCAUAAUUUUUCCUAAAACAUAGCAAUUUACCAUUUAAACCCAUUUUCCAUAAAAUCACACAAUUGUAUAAAACUACUUUAGAUAAUUAAGAUGAUAAUAAGUUUACUCACAGUUCUAGGAGUCGAUGUACUCCUAAUCCCAAUCUCCAAACAUAAUCUCUGUACUUUUACCAAUGUAAUUUACUCACCACCUAUCCACAAUGUACAAUACAUAAUUCACCACAUCAGUGCUUGACCAUUAUAAAAUCAAUUCAGGCUCAGUGUAUAUGCAUGAUAUGAUAUGCAACUUAUCCGACUAUCGCUUAAAUGCAAUGUUGACCUAAUUCGGCCUAUUACCCGAUUAAAUGACAAUUGUGUCUGAUUUGGCUCCAAAUUGCUCCAUUUCAUUUCUAAUAUUUCAAUUCACUAAAUACAAUUCCAAUAAUCUAAAAUUCAGCCUAACAACCCUCACAAUUCUUCUUGAAAAUUUCGACCAUUGUGGUGCACUAUCACUAAAAAUUUUCCCAUUCCAUUUUCUCAUCAUAAAUCAUCAUUUCAUCAAUUUUUCAACCAAUUCACUUGAUCACAAAAUCAAUUCAUUACUUCUAAACUUCACAUAGGGUUCAGUCAUUGAAGGUUCAUGGGGAAAAUGGAUUCUUUUCUUGUUGUUUUGUUUCUAAACAUGCUUAACUAACUAAAAACACUAACAUAACUUAUAAUCAAAUCAAUCUAACAUCAUUCUCUCUCCAUACCCAUUUUGACCAGCCAUGAAUUCACCAUGAAAGCAUGUUUUUCAUCCAUGGAAAUUAAGGGAAAAUGCAUGGGUAAGGUAAAUCACUAGCAAAAUCAAAGAAAUUUUACCUUUGCUUGAUCAAAUCCUUGAAUUCCAACACUUUCUCUUUGAUUUUUCCCACAUAGGGUUUGUUCUUCCUUGGUUUCUCUUUUCUUCUGGUUUGGCUAACCACUAUGGGAGAAAUGGGCUGAUUUUUAUGCCUUUUUAUAAAGAAACAAUAAAAUAAUAAAAGCAUGACACAUGACAUUUCC